rnacentral:lncRNA from 1 species
UUACAGAAGAGGAUCAGAUUUCACAUAAAAUACCAAUACAAAUUUAUUACAGGAAAACCCAGAGGAAAUUACCCUAUAUCAGCGAUAUUUACAUAUCAUAAGACUAGAAAUCUCGAUGAUUAUGCUCCCAUUGAUCAUAAUAGCAAUUAGACGGUCUCGAUCUCCACUGGAUCCUCGAAAUUCGGAUCCUUAACAUCAACAGCUUCCUUCCCGACUCCGAUCUCGGCUUGGGAAUAACCAUCGCCGGCCCAAGUGAAUUUACCACCAUGACCUCCUUUCUUUGGCGAUCCGCUCAUACCCGUCGCCGACUUCCUGUCCUUCCUCCCAUCAGAUUUGGCAUUAUUGCAACCAGAUUUGGCAUUAUUGCAACUCUUGAAACUCUUUCCUCUGUCCUUCAUCUUCUCAGCACCACUCAGAUUCUCGACCGAUGAUUCCUCUAUUCGUCGUUGUUUGUGACUGGGGGUUUGUAUGUAGGCGCUUUGUUUGCAUUUUAUAGGUGGGGGUAGUACUACGGGCGUGGCGUUUUAUGAUUGGAAUGGAUAGAGAUCGGAUAAGACCGACUAUUAGUAAAUGCUAUUUUAAUUGAGAGUUAUUAUCGAGUGUCGAGCAUGCUAUGUUGCAUGAGUCGAAGGUAUUUUGAUUCUAUUGCAUGACACCGUACACGUGGCUCCCUGGCUCAGAUCUCGUUGUUUACUGCCCAUCAUUUGCGUCCAGCUUGUUCGGAUCAAAUCUUACAACCGGUAAACGCAGGCGCAGCUGUUUGUUUUGCAGAAAAUAUUUUGGCUUUUAGUUGAAUGGGCUUUAAUGGGCUUUUGGAUUUCACCGUGCCCUGCACCCCAAGCCCACUGAAACAGUAGCGACUAUCGAGCGAGUUUUUAGACCAUUGCCUAUGUGAUCAAACAGGUUCAAUGAAAUUUCGCCAUCCCCGUGCCGUGCACCCCAAGACCAAAAAGUCAGAAACUGUAGCUAGCGAGUUUUCCACUGUUGCAUGCUCGUGGUCAAACAGGUUCAGAGAAAUUUCGCCUUGCUUUCUUUUAUUUUUUUCCAUUUUUUAAGGCUUGCAUAUUAAAUUAGUCCUUAAAUUUUUCUAAUUGGUCCAACAAAUUUUCAAAUUAAUUUUAAAUUUUUCAUGGGCUAAUUUAGUUUAAAUUUAUACUAACACUAUAAUAAUAUGUAGAAUUAUAAAAAUUUAAUAUUUUAAAAUAUCAAAAGAAAUAAAAUAAUUAAAUUAAAAAUAAAAUUUUUUAAGAGAAUAUUAAAAAACACAUGUAUAAAUAUGGGCCUGGCAUAUUAUUUAUUAAAAUUAUGAUAAUUUUUUUAAAAAAAAGAAAGAAAAAAAAAGAAAGGAAAAUAAAUCAAAAUUUUUAUUUUCAAAUUAAAGGAAAAAUAGAAAAAAUUACUCCCUCCAUCCCUAAAUACUUGUUACAUUUAUAGUUCUAAAGAGUAAUAAAUUUCUUUUCCAUGUUUACUCUUUCAAUAUGAUAAGUAAUUAUUGCUUUAAUUUUUAAAAAUUUAUUGUUUGAAUAUAUUGAGAUAAGGAUAAUACAAUCAAAUAAAGGAUAAUUUAAUGAUUUUUUUAAAAAAAUCUGAAAUUUUAUAUGUGACGAGUAUUUAGAAUGAAAAUGGUAUAAUAAUGAACUAAAGGAGUAAAAGUAGUUUUAAUCUUCUCUUGUAUCCAAACACAGUGGAAAAAUAUAUAUUUUUAAAAUUUUUCCUUUUUUUCCUCUUUAUUUUAUUUUUGCCGAAUUUUCUCGCCGACCAAAAUAUAUCGUGACUGACAGUUGAAAAUUAAGCUGAUUUAUAUGGUAACAGAAAUGGACAGGGGAAAAAAUGCAGAUUUAUCUUCGAAAAUAAGACGUUUUCAGGCUCGCCAAGCUGUAAUAAGUGGAUGUGUCAACUUUGCAUUGGAUAACCAUAUAAAAAGAAAAAGAAAAACACAGAGAAAAACUCUUAACUUGCUAAAGCCCUAAAAAUUACGAAGCGGGACGGGAGCAUCCAAGAACUGAAACCGUGGCCAAGGCUGAGGCGAGUAAGGGUUUCUAAGGGGACAAUUAAAUAUAAAUCAAAUAGGCAUGAUAGGGUCCUCCUUAACACUUCUGCUCGCGCCGGUCUCUCCUCCCUUUCACUCCUUUAAUCGACUCUCUCAUUUCCAUUCCUCUUCUCUCUCUGCCUCUGGUAAGCUUACCUUCUACCACAUCAGUAUCUCUUUGAGUUUGCGUGCUCUGUUUUCGAUUUCUUUUGCUGGUUUAGCAUCAGAUUUUGUGUUAAACGGAGUUCAAUAUAGAAUGAGAUUUAUUUUAUUUUAUUUUUAUGCUGUGAUUUUGCUGUGAAACUAGACAGAAUUGUUAAGAGUCACAUCUAGAAGACUUGCUUUUGCUACAAAGACACAGGCAAUAUCGACCAUGACGAAUGUAAGUCUGUUUAACCAUUUUAUUUAGAAGCUUCUGGUAAGUAAAUGCUUGUGUAGAUUGAGUUUCCUUUUUAAGGGCUAAUUGUUGAAUAUUCUUGGUGAAGAAGACCGAGGAGAAUGUAGGCAAUUUGAAGAAACAACUAGCGAAACUGUUUGAAGUAUCUCUAAGAGAGACAGUGCCUACUGAGCCAGAUAUCGAGCCUUUAGUUGCGGCCUGCACUGCAAAAUUUGGCGACUACCAAUGGUAAUACUAAUGCGCUACCUGAAAUUACUUUACUGCAAAAUUUGGCGACUACCAAUGAUAAUACUAAUGCGCUACCUGAAAUUACUUUAAGCUACGUUAGUAUAUAAGCUACGUUUCAAGUGGUAAUAUUUCAAUUCUGGAUUCGUGUGUGCUUCUAAUUUGUGCUGAAUUUAUGCAUAUUUUAUCUGGUGCAGUAAUAAUGCCAUGAGUCUCUGGGCUAAAAUAAAAGGGAAGAAUACUGAAUUUAAGGGGCCCCCAGCUGUUGGACAGGUAUGAAUAAUUUUCAUGUUAGCAACUUAGAAUUCAAUUGUUCAUGCAUGAAUUAGCUUCCUACUCUUUUUCUAAGCUCCCGUUUUCCCACUCUUUUUUUAUUCUUCUUUCUAUCUCCUGCUGUUGGUAUUGGGUAAUUGGAUUGAAGCAUUUGUUUGAUCUUUAAUGUUUCUUAUGGCAGGCUAUAAUGAAAAAUCUUCCUUUGUCUGAAAUGAUAGAAAAUUGCUCUGUGGCAGGACCUGGUUUUGUGAAUGUUGUUUUGUCAAAGACUUGGUUGGCUGAGGUAUUUACCUAUUCACCGUUUCCAAUUAAUCUUAUGAAUUUGUUGUAUGAUUAUUAUAUGUGUCUUUAAAAUCUUUUUGCACGCACUUUUCUUUUGCCUUCUCAUGAUUCUAGUAUUUUUCUCAGUUGCUUUUUAUUUGAAGUGGGAAACUAGUCCAAUUUGACUUCCAGUGGUUAAUGUAAGGUUACUCAUGUUAGAUUGUUUUGGCUGCAGAAAAUCCAGAAGAUGCUUAUUGAUGGUAUUGACACUUGGGCACCUAAGCUUGCAGUUAAAAGGGCUGUGGUUGACUUUUCCUCCCCCAAUAUCGCAAAAGAAAUGCAUGUUGGCCAUUUAAGGUCUACUAUUAUUGGUGACACGCUAGCCCGCAUGCUUGAAUACUCUAAGGUUGAUGUUCUUCGGCGAAAUCAUGUUGGCGAUUGGGGAACUCAAGUGAGUGUGAUUUUUGAAAACUUCUAUAUAGUCUCUUGCUCUUUCAUAGACUUUUGAUAUGCUUGACAUAUUUCUUCCAUUAUGAAGUGUUGCAUCUCUUCAAAUAAUCUUUUAUAUAUCUUAUGACAUUUUCCCCUUUCUCAUUAGCAACCUGUUGCUUAAAGAUUUACAUUUGCUUGCAGUUUGGUAUGUUGAUUGAAUUCCUCUUUGAGAAGUUUCCAAACUUUGAAGAUGUUAAUGAAAGCGCUAUUGGGGAUCUACAGGUGACUGAAAAACAUUUAAUUAUUUAAAUUGUGAAAUAACCUUUAGAGUAAAUAAGCUAAAAUCAUGUAGUGCUAUGCAUUAAAAUUUGGACCAAGAACAUGAAGAUCUCGGAGAUCAAUUGCUGUUUGGGUUUUAUGUUUUUGAGCACUUACAUCAUGCCCAUGGACAGAAUCUGUUCUUUGCUUGUGUAUGGAACUGAUCAUAAUAAUUUGUAAUAGUAAGCAAAUUAUUCUUAUUAAGAAAUGCUCAAUACUGUUUCUUUUCUUCUCCCUUACCCAUUAUGCAUAGAGCGUACAGCCGUGGCAAUUCAUAUUGCAUGUUAUCUAAGCUAUAUGACAGUUUCUAUGAGAACUCAGAUAGUAUUAGGCUAUAUGUACGGCUAUACUGCUUUUUUUUUUUUUUUUUUUUUGGUUGGAAAUAAGGAUUAGAUGCUUCCUUGGGCAAUAGAUGAUGUGGCUUUUAGAAAGCGGGAAACAUGAUAUAUCUGAUUCUAACUUGAGUUAUGCAUUCUAUAGGCAUUCUACAAGGCAUCAAAACAGAGGUUUGAUGCUGAUUCCGAAUUUAAGGAAAGGGCACAAAGAGCAGUGGUCCGCCUCCAGGUAUAUCUUUUACUUUUUAACUUGAAGGACUCAUUGGGUUGAUAUAUAAUUUAUUGUUGGACCUAUAAACUGUUUAUAGAAGGGAAUUGAAUGUGAAUUUUUUUUUCUUUUUUUUUUUUUUUUUUUUUGGUAUGCAGGGUGGAGAUCCCAAGUACCGCCAAGCAUGGAUGCAAAUAUGUGACAUCAGUAGGAAGGAGUUUGAUAAGGUCUACCAACGCCUUGGAGUUCAGCUUGAAGAAAAGGUAGAUAUCUUAAUUUUCUAUAUGAUGAUUUUUUGAGUGCCAACAUUAAUGGUGUUUUAGGAAGCUGCUAGUGAAAUUCUGUAAACAAGAUAUUUACUUCUUGGGCUCAUUGGCGAAUUAGUAAUUUGCUGAUCCUCUUGCUAAAAAUCAAGGAAUUGGGAGAUUUCAUAUGAAGGUUUCAUGAAAAGGUUAAAUGGGGUGCUUUAUCUUAUGAAAUCCAUCUAAGCUACACCAAAUUCGUAAUGUGUUUUAAUGGUAAUUGCUUAUCAAAAGAUAAAAGAGCACAUUCACACGAAUGUCUAUUCCCAUGUCUUGUUCACAGGGAGAAAGCUUUUAUAAUCCACACAUUCCUGGGAUUAUAGAGGCAUUAAGCAAUCGAGGAUUAGUUGAAGAAAGUGAAGGUGCUCGUGUGAUCUUUAUUGAAGGAUUUAAUAUUCCUCUUAUUGUUGUGAAGAGUGAUGGUGGUUAUAACUAUGCUUCAACUGAUCUAACUGCCCUUUGGUGAGUUUAUAUUUCUUCUCAGAAUAAAAUCUGGAAUUCUCUUUAGAUGUCUUGAUCCUAUUAUUCUAUUUUUUUGUGCAUCUAUUUAGUCCCUGGUUUGGAUUCCUGUACCUUGCGAUUUGUGUAAUCGUUUGAAACGAUUUGGAAGUUUAUGUUAUCUAGAUGAUCACAUUAAUUAUUGGUUUUUCCCCUAAAUCAUAUAUAAGCUAGCUAAAAGGUAAAAUUAAUACGAGUGAACUUCAUUUUUUUUUUACCUUCCCUUGGUCAAUUUCUUAUGUUGAUGGGAACUGAGCAUUUUUUUUUUUACCUUAUUUGUAGCAUUGGUUGUACAUUGGAAAUGCAAAAAUAUCUUUUGAGACCGCUGAACAUGUUUCUUUUUUAUAAGGUUUUUAACAUCUGCAGAGUUCAUGUCAUGGUGGAUUGCUAAGGAUGAAAAGUGGUGGCAUUGGAAUUGAAAUUGUUGGAUGUUGAUUUCCAUGUGUAGGUAUCGCCUUAAUGAAGAAAAAGCUGAGUGGAUUAUAUAUGUUACGGAUGUUGGCCAGCAGCAACACUUUGAUAUGGUAUUCAAAGUAAGUCUCUGUUGCCAUAUCUUGUAUUCUCUUUUUUGGCUAUUAAAGUACGCUUUUGCACUUGAUAAUUCCUUGUAUUGCACUUUUACUGCCAUUUUGAUGUAAAAAUGACGAACUUGUUAUUUGUUUACAUGUAUUCCAUGGUUUAAAUUCAGAGUCAACUUAUAAUUAUGUGCCCUUCUUAUUCAGGCUGCCAAACGUGCGGGUUGGCUUCCAACUGAUGAUAGCACGUUUCCUAAAGCUAGCCAUGUCGGAUUUGGCCUUGUUCUUGGAGAUGAUGGCAAGCGAUUUAGAACUCGGGCCACUGAAGUGGUUAGGUUAGUUGAUUUACUAGAUGAAGCUAAGACUCGGAGCAAAGCAGCACUUGUUGAGCGCGGUAAAAAUAGCUGGACUGAUCUUUGAUUUUUGUUAAUUGUUAGUUAUGUGCCUUGAAUUUCUGUAUCGUCCUUAUCUUUGUGUUAGAUUUUCACCACAAAGACUUUGCAUUUCUAAGGUAAAUAAUACCCUACUUCUUUGACAGGUAAGGCUGAUGAGUGGACUGAAGAGGAGCUUGAGCGGACUGCUGAGGCCAUUGGUUAUGGUGCUGUUAAGUAAGCUAUCUAUACUAAUUUGAACUUUUCCUUUUGGCUCUAUAAGUUGCUGUAUUCUCAAUUUUAAUCCAUUGAUUUGUAGUAUCUUUUGUUCUGGGCUUGGGUUGGUGCUAAACAUUAGCUUGAGGUGGCCAAGGGAGUUGAGAAAUUACUGAUUCUAGGAUUGGAGUUACAGAAAGGGUUCAUAUUUGUGGGUUGAAGUUUGUUGAGAAAUAAUGAAGUUUUCUGGAAAAACGGUGUAGUUUGAAUUAAGUUGUAGGAACUUUUUGGUGGGGAAAAUUUUCGUUUUAAUGGUUUUUUUUUGGCAUGACGUGCAUCAUUUGGUGCAAUGUAGAAGCUUUGGGUUGCAGCAACAAAGUUGCAGGUUUGAGAUGUUGAAGCUACCAUCUCAUGCAAAAAAUUGUCAAGAGUAAGACUUUCAAGUUCUUCCCAGAUCUGAUCUCCCUAGUGAGAGUUGCAAGACCAUAACUUGGCAAUAACCUCUUCUAAGUGGUGGUUUCAAUGGCUAAAGGUGUUGACAUAUUACUGGCUGGAUGCUGAGGGAUAUGCUGAGACUCGAAGUCUCUUCCUUGCCAUAUGUAGAUAUAGAAAUUCAUAACUUGAAUUAUUUAAAAAAAAAAAAAAAACUUUAAACUCUCAACCAAAAUACCCUUAAAUUGCUGUAAGAACUGACAGGUUUUCCAUAAUCCAUAAAGGUGCUUAAAUUAUUUCUGACAUGACUUUAAAGUUUGCUUCCUUUGUGUAUGCCUACUUAUCAAAUCAUUCACGAGUUAUGCAAGAAAACCUAAAUUUGGUAAAUAUUAGAAUAAGGUGAUGGAGGGAUAUGCUUCCUCAUGUCUGCAUUAUCUGUUCCCAACAUUGUUUAUAGAUAUAAACAUGUUCAUUCGUUUAACUAUGAAUUCUACUUUUGAUAUACAUACAUUGUUAAUCUUUUUUUGGUCAGGUAUGCUGACUUAAAGAAUAACAGAUUGACCAAUUAUACAUUCAACUACGAUCAGAUGCUCAGUGAUAAGGUAAAUAUCUGAUUUGUUGCUUGGUGGAGCACAGAUUUCAGAAAGCCAAACUUGUUCAUGAACAAUUUUUAGAUACUGGGGUUAUGUGAUGUUUUUACUUGGCUAACUAUCGACUACUUGUAUUAUGGUUCUCUUAUCUGUAGUUUUCUCUCUUUUAUUGCUGUUGCUGAUGAAUACUGCUGUUCUGCCCCAGUACUACUAUGGUUUUUUAACCUUCUAGAACUUCUGAACAGGGAAAUACUGCUGUUUACUUGUUAUAUGCUCAUGCUCGGAUCUGUUCAAUCAUUAGGAAAUCUGGUAAAGACAUAGAGGAGUUGAAGAAGGUAAGUUCUCUUCCUUCCUGGUUCAUUGAAAACUUUUACAGUUUACAAUGGCCAUGCUGCUUGCUAGUUUUUGUUUAUGCUUGUAAUGUGCUCUCAAUCAUAUGUUUUAUCUUUUAAUCUAAUUUUAACCAAAAUUUCAUUUAAAACAUCUAACACUUUACUACAAGUUUCGAAUGCAUUUUCAGUGGACAUUUGUUUUAAUAUGAAUGUUGUAGUACUCAAAUCAUCUUGCCCCAGCUUUUUAUUGCUUGUGGAUUUGGAGAACAAGAAUUUGCCCCAAGUAACUUCUCAAGUAGAGAAGGUUGAUGUUGUUUUUUAUUUUGCUUGUGUCUAUUUUUUUGUGAUGCAGACAGGGAAAUUGAUCCUGAGUCAUCCUGAUGAGCGUGCUCUGGGGCUUCAUUUAUUACAAUUUGCUGAAGUAAGACGUGUUUUAAAUAAUCACUCUUUUUUUUGUCUCUUGCUUCUUGUCCUUAGCUUGCUUUCAUUCUAAAAUUUUAUCUUGUAAGUUGAAAUGGAUGUUUUUGUCUGCACAUUUCAGACUGUAGAGGAGGCCUGCACCAAUCUCCUGCCAAACGUGUUGUGUGAAUAUCUCUACAAUUUAUCUGAAUAUUUCACCAAAUUUUAUUCCAAUUGCCAGGUAUAUUCCAACUAUGCUAAAAUAUCACACUAAUAAUUGAACAUUGACCGGCUUAGGCUUGCUGACUAGGUGCCAAAACAGCUGGGGAGCUAUUGGUUACCUUCCAUUACUUCUCUCUGAGUUGUAAUUUUAUAAAGGAUUUAAUUGAAGUCAUGUUCAAAGUUCAAACUUGAGAUGUAACUAAAUGAUAUUUGGAAAAUUGGGCAGGUCGUUGGGUCAGCCGAGGAAACAAGUCGACUCUUGCUAUGCGAAGCAACGGCUGUGGUCAUGAGGAAAUGCUUUUUCCUUCUUGGAAUUGUACCUGUUUACAAGAUAUGAUACCACAAAUUCAAGAUGUAGAAUUUUGUACCUAUAUUUUCUCAGGCGGUAUAAAAAUUUUGUAUACGGAUCAUAUUGUAUGGUGAUUUUGUUGGAUUUCUCGUGCAACUGAAAAAUAGUUAGGCUUCAAUUGUAUGAUUUCCUGAUUGUAUUUCGCUGUGCAUGCAUCCCAUUUUGAACAUUUAAGGCUUCAAUCAUUGUUGUAUCCAGCCACGUGUGUGUGGUUUGUUGAAGUAAAUAUUUUUGUAAUUUUUUUUAAAAGGAAAAUCCUUUUUUUAAAACAAGGAAAACCUUCUCCAGGCAACGUUUCUGUUCUUUCUUUAUUGUUUUUCUUAACAAAACAUUACUAUUUGUUAAUUUUUAUGUCUUUUUUUUAAAGAUUUUUUAUACGCUUAAUAAUUUAUUUUCGUAUUUGAAUCCGCCUUUGAUAUUUGUUCAUUCACUUUUUUUUUUUUUUUUUUUUGUUAUUUUAUGUAUAAUUUUUAUAACGGAAAGUAGUGUUGUUACACUACUUAACGUUUUCCUGUUUUGAAAGAAAAAAAAAAACAAAAAAGUUGCGGAUUAGUGGCGGAGCUCUUAAGGGACCAAACGUGUGAACAUGGCCCCAUGUCUAAUGAGCUUCGUUAUAAUCUAAAAAUGGUUCCUUAAAAUUGAUUUUAUCCAUGAUUUUUCUUUCCAAAAUUGUCAUAUAUAAUUGCAUUCGUUAGACAUUUGCUGCCAUUACUUCAUCAAGACCAUGAAUACGAAAUGAUUUUUCAAUUUUUUUUUAUAUAUACAUGAAAUAUUAAAUAAAUAAUUUACUUAAAAAUUAGUAGAAAUUUAUCACCAUUUAAUUUUAAAGUAUAUAUGAUUUUUUGUUAAUUAAAUUCAUUGUUUUCUUUGUCAAUUUAAAAUUUAAUUAACAGAAUAAUAUUCUCAGAUGUUUAUUAUUUUUCUUGGAUGAUAUAUUUCUUACAUAUAUAUAUGUAUAUGUAAUAUUUUGAGCAUUGGAAAGGGAAUUAAGUAUAUAUGCACUUAUCUUAGGUUAUACUUAGAUUUACAUAUUUAAUAUAACCACAUAUUCUAACGUGAAAAUUUAAAAAAAAAAAAAAAAAAAGAUGAAAAAAAGAAAGUUAACUCCUUUUCAUUUCCGGUUUGUGGUUAUUCUCCAUUGGUGCUUAUUCAGGAAUCAGAACUUAUAUAUGACCUUGCAGACUAAUGUCUGUACUCUUUGAUAUCUUAGUCGAAUCCUAUUUAAAAGUGCAAGAAACGAGAAUAAGUUUCUUCUAUUGGUAAUUAAUCUUCUCUUAGGAUUAGAAUAUUAUGGAUGGAUAAUAAAGGUUCAUACGAAAAAUUACCUUCGUGCUUUAUACAAUAUUAAUUAUAUGCAUUAUAUUUGUGCUAUCAGCAUAAUUUUGAUCAACUGAAACAAUUUAAUUUUGAUAAAAAUGACGGGAUGAGCAAAAAGGAAGUCUCAAACUAAGGUUGAGAUAUGGUAUAUAGAUCUUUUUCUCCAUUUCAUCAAAUCUUCAAACUACAAAAAAAUUUAAAAAAAAAAUGCUAAUUAAAGAUUGUGCAUUUUGCAUAAUAAUAGAUGUUCUUGAUUUCACUACCUUCUUAAACCCAACCCCCUUGCAAAAAUAUGCAAUGCAAGUUCUGCAUCAUAAAAAGAUGCAUCAAAUUGCACAUGAACAUGGAUUUAAAAUCCCUAAUUAACAAUUACCCACUAAAGAAUUAGCUCUCUUGCUUAAAAAGGAUAAAAAAGAUCCUCUUGAACCUGAAAUCUUUUUUGAUAUGGUAGCUUUAGGACUAUAAGACUUGUGUCCAUCCAAAACCGCAGCAUAGCUUUUGCUCGACUUCAUUCUUGAUCUAGAUGGAGUGCUUUUCACUUUCUUUGCCAGAUCUUCCAAGUCCUUUACACUUGCUAAAGAUGUGUAAGAUUGAGACUUCCCUUGAUAAAACUUUGAAAGACCUCUCCUGCAAUUGCGCAUAUAUAUGUAUAUAUGAUUAUCUUAGAGGCUUUUCAAUAAAAUUAUUUUCAAUAAAAUCUUUUUAAUAAAAUUAUUUUUUUAUAUUUAAAUCCCUUGCUUUUUAUGCUAUAAGAAAGAUAUAGUAUUAAUCAUUGAGUUUUAUAACAAAAUUUCAUGAGGAAGAAAUUUAUUUUCAUUAACUAUAUGUAUAUAUGUACUUACUUGAUAGGAAGUUGGGUCAUGAGCUCUGAUAAGUCAUAUAGAGGCCUAUUUGUAUAUGUUGAUGAAGUUGAUGAUGAUGAUGAUAACGGUGAUUGUGAAGAAGAUGCAUCUUCGAAUAAAUCUGUUGAAGAGGAAGAUAUAACUGAGUUCGAUGAAGCUUCCAUGGAGGAUUCAGCUGAUGUUGAGUCAUAAGCAUUAUCAUCACCAUGACAAUCCAUGGCCAUCACGCAGCUUUGAUCUUGCUCUUCUAAUUGACUAGGGUUUACUUUUUCAAAAUUAAGAUCCCAAAAUUUUCUUUCUUCAGCCAUUAGUUUCUAUAUAAUAUAGUCUCCAACGAAAGGCAAGAGAAGGAAGAAAGUAAAGAAGAGAGAUCUUGCAGCAGAAAGGGUUUAUAUUAUACAAAAAGAAAAGGGUAGUAUUGGAGGGUUCUGAGCACCUUUCUUGAAUUCAUGCAGAUUGCUGUGUUUUAUUUUUCAUUAUAUAAUAAGAUUUGUUUGUCUUGUGAUGUUUUUUUUUUUUCUCUUUUUUUAUGAUUAUCGUCAAAUCUAUUAAUGGUGUAAAUUUAUUAGCUUUCCCAUGGUACAAGGAAGUGGAUAAGGUCUAAAUUUGAACACAUCCAAAGAUGACUCACCACCCCUUUUUCGUAAAGGGAGAAUAUAAAACUUAGGCCAUCGUCUGUGGCUACUUUGCCUCUUAAAGCAGUGACAGAUUAAGGUUUCUAGGCAUUCAAAUAGUAAAAGUUGCCAAUAAAGAAAUUCUACAUUUCACUAUAAGUUUGGAGAACAACCUUUGGUGGGUGGAUAUAUGGCUAAUCUUCCACUAAUCCUUGUUUGCCAAAACUUACUUAUCUCUAAGAAAAUGCUUGUUUGUCUCUGAAUUAUUAGAGAUAAGCUAAACAAAACAUACGGAUAACGUAACUUUAUUUCAUUAAAUGAGUAUACGGUUAAUAUAAUAAACUGAAUUUACCAAAAAAUUUAUCGCAAGCCAGGCAUGAGCUGGACGAAGAGGUCGACUGGGAAACCUGUCAUCAUAGUUUAACACUUUUUUAUUGCCACCACAUGUUACUCCUUGUAGGCCCCAACCUUCCGUUUCAUUCACUUUUAUAUAUGGAUAAGAUUUGCCACUACCUAAUGCACCACUCAUUUCAAUUCAUUAGGAGGUCUAUUGGCUACGGUGGAUGUGCCUACCAUAUAGCAGCUAGGUGUUUCUGUAGAUAAUUAUUUCUUUCAGUUAUAUUUGAAUUAUUUAAUUCUUAUCUGGUGGCCAGUGUUAGAACUGUGGCACCACAUGAUAAUUUGAGCUAACAUGUCAUGGGUUUGUCUUCCCACAAGCAAUGUAGUAAUCCAGUGCAGUGAUGUUCAGAAUUGAUUGCAUUAGUUUAAAUAUCUAAUAUACAUGCAAAUUUAGCUUAACCUUAGGAGACAGGAAUAUUGCGUGACAGCACCAUGUAAUAUUCAAAACGAUCAGAACUUGUUACCAAAAUGAUCUAAUGACCGGUGAAAAUUUUGGGAUGCAUGAAAUCACUACUCUAAUUAAAUUAAUGGCGGUAUUAGAAGUAAAAUUUAAAAAAAAAAAUCAAAAUUACACUUAAUUGUAUAAUAAAUUAUAAAUGAUGUAAUUAUUUAUAAAAUUAUAGAAUUUAUAGGUACAAACUCCUUCAUUAAAAUAGCUUGAUAAAAAUAAUUCAACUUAAUUGGUUAAGCUUACCAAAUGAACCUAACUUUUCUCAAGCACAAACUUGAACAAAUCACAAGUGACUUGACUCGUAUUUUCAGUCCAAGUCUUUUUUUUUAAUUAGAUCGAUAAUUUUUUUCUCAAGUGAGAAAAAUAAAUUAAUAAAUUUAUCUUAAUAUGUUUUAUUUGAUAUUUAACUAUACAUAGUAGUUAAUUUUAUAAAUUUUACAAAUAGCACAAUAUUUAUAAAUUCCUUAAAUAUUUGUAAAUUAUAUUUUUUAUUUAUAUAAAAUAGUUUUAAAUAUUUGUAUGUGCAAUUUCUUGGAAAUAGUGUUGCACGUUGAACCCAAAAUUAAUAGUGACUAAAUAUUUUGUUUGAAAUAAAAUUGUGGAUCUUGUUAACUGAUGCAACGUACAAAUAAACCCUUUUAUCAUAAUUUAAGUGUCUAAAAGCUUUUUAGUGAUUUAUUUUUAAAUUAGGAGUGGGAUUAAUUUGUUCAAUCUAGCGACCAAAUCGAUGAAAAUGGUUUUUCUAUUGAAAUAAUGGUAUGUUUAAACAUGUAUGGAGAAGAAAAAAAAAGAAUAAUUUUAAAAUUUUCUAUUUUAAUUGAUUUGAUCCGUAAAUAACUCUAUGAACCCGAUAAGUCUCGUACAUAAGAUAGAAAUUUGAUUAUGAGAUAGUGGAAAUUAGACUUUCAUCAGUCAAAGUCUUAGCAAGGUAGAGCAUUUAUUUAUUGCCAUUUUGACCAACUUGCUAUUUAUAAUCUACCUGGAAAUGGGAAAAUAAUUAAAUGAAGAAAAUAUCUUUAAAAGUUUAAUGUCAAGAGAAUAAAAGAUAAAUAUUAAAUAAAAAAAUAAGCAUAUCCUAAUUUUAAAUAAUUAGAAAUAUUUGAACUCAUUUGGAAAUUCAAAUAUUAAAAACAGUUCAAUUAGGAAUCUUAAUAUUAAAAAAGACAAAUAUUUUUGAAAAAACGAAAAGAAAUAUAUAAUGUGCAUGGGCCUUGUUUUUGUGGAGCUGUUGGGUCCAAAGCCCAAAUCUUUGUCCAUCCAUCAUCACACAGAAUGUGUUCACCCAUCAGAAUGUUGGGCAUUGGAAACUAUAUUAGUAGGCCCCGAUUGUAAAUGGCAGUAGGAGAAAAAUGUCUUCUAUUGAUUUUUUUGUGUAACUUGCAACAUACGAAUGUCAGCUGCAUCACGUGAAUCUCGAGUUUGUCUCCCUCCUAUCCCGAGUAUAACUCCAUUUAUAAGCCUUAAAAAACAAGAUGCAAUAACAAUAUAUAUAUAUAUAUAUAUAUAUAUUAAUCUAUCCGUGUGCGGAUUCUAUUAUUAGAAUUAACUAAUGUGGCUUGAGAUUUAAUCACAGUUAAAAUUCUUUGUUCCUUUCUACAUAUAUGUUUAGUUAAGACUGAACCUAAAAAUUCUUUUAACAUACCCUGCAUAAAUUGCCAACUGAGUCAUAACCGGUAGAUAACAAUAUCUAUAUUUUAUUUAACAAAAAUAAAAAUAUUAUAUCUUAAUGUUAGGAUUUAAAUUUUAAGGUACACAUAUACUAUUUUUAUUCUAUGCUGCAUAAUGCUAAACACAAAAAUUAAAUUUUAUAUAUAUAUAUAUAUAUAUAUAUAUAUAUAGCCGCCUAAAUUCUUUGUACACAUAUUUUUGACCUUUCUUAAACAAUGAAUCCAAUUCACUGAGAUUCAGAUCCUCCAUUAAAGUCAAAGAAUCUCUCUCUUUUUUUAAUUCUUGGUAUUUAUUUUAAGAGCGUGGAUAUAGGCUUGAAUCGAGCCACGUUUCAUUAAUUUUUAUAUUAAAUUGGCAGGCCAAGCAUGAAAGCACAUGAUUCAUGAGGAACGGUACAUGGAGGUGGCAAUAGUUGCAAAUAGAGAUCAACAUAGAUCGGAGUUCAAGUUGGGACUUGAAUAUUCGAUUUUUUUUUUAUAUAGGAAGAAAAAACUACUAGGUGUGUUAGUUACUGCCUGGUCGGCUCAAAUCACCAGUCAGGUAUUGACGUCCUGAUUUUAAACACUCUAUAAGGCGCGCCAACUCUUGAGCAGUGGUGGGAAACUCUGCCCCCUUCUGUAAGAUCAUGGUGUUGCGGUCCUCAAUCCAUGAUAGCAAGAACUCGAGCAAGUGGCAAAAUGCCAUAUCAAGCGCUAUGAUGCUAUUGAAACCUUUGCCUUCCUUCAUUGGUUUACGCACGGGAUACUGACACUGAGAGACGAAAGCUAGGGGAGUGAAUAAGAUUAGAUACCCUAAUAGUCCUAGCCGUAAACAAUGAAUACCGGCGCUGUGCACAUCGAACCAUGCAAUGUUGUAGCUAACGCGUUAAAUAUUCCACCUGGGGUAGUCUAAAAAAGCAAAGUAAAUAUUUAAAUAUUAUACAUAACGGAAUAUGCUCAUGAAGGAUCAAAUCUAAUCAAGCAUGCGGAUGAAGGCUUUUACCACUAGGUCACCACCUCUGAGUGAUUGGAAUUUGAUUCAUGAAGAAAAGUUAAUACCCAUUGGAUAUCCACCUUGUAAUUAAUCAAAUCUUGUACUCUCUCAGUCACAUUUGUUUGCAUGAUUUGACAAAAUACGCAUAUUAAAAUUUUAGUCAACAAAAAUUAUUUUACCUUUUCUAUCCUUAACUCAUUAAGAUAUUAAUAAAAUUUUUUCAUUUAACGAAGGAUCAUAAAGAUUAUUAUGAGAAAAAUAAUUAAUUACAUGUACAAAUUUACAUACUUUGCAAAUAUUUUGGAACAUUUAAAAAAGGAAUAAGAAGCAAAUAAAAUGGUCGGAGUCAAUGUAUAUUUUUAAUGGAUUUUUCUUUUAAAAUAAUCUGGUCAGAUUCAAAUAGCAUAGUUAUCCAUAUUCAACCCAUCAAACCACGUAUAUCCGACAGAUUAGAUAAAUAGAUUUGUUGGAGUUUAUUAUAGAUACUGGCCUCCAGAAAAGCUUUCUUUUGUUCACUUGUUAUUUAUAAUCAAAGACACAAACUUCGACCUUUACAUGAAACUUGAUAUCUUAUUUUCUGUGAUUGCAUGAGUGCAUGUGUGCUUGUCGACUAAAAGGUGAUUGCAUUUUCAGUUAUAGUGUAUUGGAUAUUGCUAUGAAAUUUAAACUCUAGGUGCAUGUUUGAAAGGGUUGAUCUAUAUAUUUAAAUCCCCCUCUGGGUCAUCGUGAGCUUAUCUGUUUAAUUGGGUUGUUUUCUAUAUAUUUGAUGAUGCAAGUUUGUGUCGGGUGGGUUGCUGCUAUGUCGUAAACUUAAUAGCUAUAUCAAGUAGCUCGCUUUUAGACUCUAUAGAUGAGAUUGUCCCAUAUAAUGCUUUUCACAUCUUUUUCAUUUGAGCCAAACUUUUUUUUUUUUUUCUCUACAGAAGGGACACAAAGCUCAAAACAGAUUACACACAGAGGCUAGGAUAUAUAAAUAAAUAAUGACAAACUUUGAUGCCAGCGUAGAUCCCAACAAUCUUAAGGUUUGUAAUUAAUCCUUUAAUCACUUAACGCCGGAAAAUAGACUUCUAACUUUUUGUAAGCUAUCAUUAAGACAGGGAAAGUCCAGUGCAAUGGUAGCGCGUUGGCUACUUGGAAAUGGAAACCUCUUUUGCUGGAGUAGUAUGCUUACAAUAGAAGAUUACUAUUCUCAUAUUUUUUCCGGUAUUUCCCAAUUCCAUUUUCGUUAAAACAAUGAUUUUCAUAUGCUAUAAUUGCUUUAAUUCUGCUCAAUCAUUUUUCUUAUUUGACAAUUGUUUUUCCUUGAACUUAUGUAGCGAUACCACUCGUCAAGGAUUCUUACUCUUGUGUAUCAACUAUGUGCAUUUGUUACACUUGCAAUACUUGCAAAUCACGAGGCAAAACUCAAUACAAGAAAAAGGAACCUACUUGGAUAUAGUUUACUUUUCAUAGGCUCUCUUCUUAUUUUAGUUGUGAGUAUCAUAUUUUUAUUUUCUAUGUUCCAAACAACUCGUUGACAGAUUUUGGUUAAUUCAUAUGCAUACUAGCUACUAAUUCAUUUAUUAUGAUUCUAUAGGUGGAUUUAGCUACAUCAGGAAGAGGGGGACUUGAAACUUUCAUUGGGAUUUGUGUCGUUAAUGCUGCAUUUGGAGUUGCAGAUGCUCAUGUGCAGGGUGGAAUGGUUGGAGACCUAUCCUUCAUGAAACCUGAAUUUCUACAGGUUAUAUAUUUCUCUUUCCAUGGUAACAUUUUCCAUGGUUUUCUAUUUCCUACGAGUAUUUUGAUGAGUCUUAAUUUUACUUCUUUUUUAGUCUUACCUUGCUGGUAUGGCAGCAUCAGGGAUCAUAACUUCUGGUUUGAGGUUAAUUAUAAAAGCAGCAUUUCAGGAUUCCAAGAAUGGUCUUCGCAAAGGAGCUAGUAUGUUCACCACCUUUUAUCUUGCUUCCUACAAACAAGGAAUUCUCCAUUUCUUAUGCUCAACUUUUUCCUUUUGGCUAAUCCAUCCGCCUUCAGCAACAAACUUAUCUCUAUCAUAUAAUAUUUAACAAAGAAGUUCACACUUGGUCUUUCUGCAAUUUGGUUAUCAAGACUAAACGUCCCAAUUUGUCUAUCGCAGUUCUAUUUUUUGCUCUCUCUGCAUUUUUCGAACUUCUCUGUGUUUUCCUCUAUGCCUAUGCCUUUCCAAGAUUACCCACUGUGAAACACUACCGCUCGAAGGCAGCCUCAGAAGGUUCAAAAACUGUUACAGCUGAUCUUGCGGCUGCUGGCAACAGAACAUUCCAACAAGAAGAAGUAUGUCUAUUUUCCCUAGAGAUAUUUAGUUAACAUAGUAUUUAUGCUAAUUCAUUACGCAAUUUAACAAUGAAAUUUUCGACAGGCUGAGGAAAAGCCAGAAAGAUUUGAGAGGCGAAGCAACAAAGAGUUAUUAUCACAGAACAUUGAUUACGCAAUUGAUCUGUUUCUGACAUAUGUAAUCACAAUGUCUAUUAUGCCUGGAUUUUUAUCUGAAAAUACCGGAUCACAUAAUUUGGGCGAUUGGUGAGCCUUGGUUUAGAAUAUCCAUGUGAUUAAUUUACUCUUUUAAAGGCUUUGUAAAUUCUGAAAUUGUUGAUAUUUCAGGUAUGCCCUGGUUCUGAUAGCAAUGUACAAUUUGUGGAAUCUUAUUGGUCGAAACAUUAUACUCGUGAAAUCGUUGAAGCUGGAAUCACGAAAAGGUCUCAUGAUAAUCAUUAUCUCUCGUUUCUUACUCGUUCCAGCAUUCUAUUUCACUGCCAAGUAUGCAGACGAAGGCUUGAUGAUAAUGCUGACAAGCGUCUUAGGAUUAACAACCGGUUAUUUCACUGUCUGUGUCCUUACUUCUGCACCAAAAGGUUACAAGGUUUGUAGGUUUCUAGCAAGUUUUAUUUUAGUUUUUAUUUAUUGUAUUGUAUUGAGUAGCAUUUGUGUUGCCACAGGGACCGGAGCAAAACGCCUUGGGGAAUUUGCUUACUUUGUUCCUUCUGUGUGGUAUAUCUGUAGGAUCUGCACUUGACUUAUUGUGGCUGAUAGGCAAAGGAUGGUGAGCUCAUACUUUUGCUGAAUUUAAGUGGAGACCUUUAAGAAAUUCAAAAGAUUUCAGUUUAUAUUUUUCCAAUGGCAAUUAUAAAGAAUAACUCGACCUUUUUCAUCUUCUAUUUGUAAAGUUCAGAAAUGUUACCUCCAAUUUCUGAGAGUAAUCUGACGCUGAGCUGAUUAAUUACUUAUCUUUGUUAUGUCAUGCACGUCAAAUCUCUUAAUUACUUGAUUUAAAUAAGUACUUUUCAGAAUAUCUACAAAGAGACAAUGUCCCUAUUGAAUUAAUGGUCUAUAAAAUAACUGAAGUAUCCAACUGCCUGUUGGUAUAUAAUAAGUAAAUCUGCAAUACAUACAAAUUUGAUGUUUGCAACUAAUUUUAGAUCGAGGCCAACAAAAUAUUCAUGAGGACUUAGGUAGUUGACGUAAACGUCGUAAAGACUCAACUUCAUCUAAAUUUAAAGCUAUAAAUUGAAGCAAGAAGCGUAGAACUUACACAAGAACCAAAGCCAAAUAAGUGGUUAUGGCAGCUCUAAACAAGUCCCUGAUUUCUCCUUCUCCUGUUGAUUGCAGUUUCAAUGCAGGGCCAGCAGGUUUAUUUCCAUUUAAAUUAAUUCAGCAAAAGUAUGAGCUCACCUUCCUUUGCCUAUUAGCCACAACCAGUCAAACACAGCUCUAUAAAUAUACUGCGAAACAAAGCAAGCGAAAAAUGGAAUUGUGUUCUUUGUAGAGGACUCCUCGUUUGAUUUUAUGCUGUUUGUUAUGAAACUUAUCAGUUCGUUCUAACUUCCUUUCUCUAUCUUUUAACACAGUCCAGUCAAUGCAUUGUAUUGGUUUCUUGGAAACGGAACCCUCUUUUCAUGUAGUAAUAUGCUCACAAAGUAGAUUAUUAUUGCCAUCUUUUGCCGGUGCUUCCCAUAUCCAUUUAUGAGAAAUACCGGGAAAAGAUGACAAUAGUAAUCUACCAUUGUCAACAUGAUGCAUUAAGAGGAGAGAGUUCCAUUUCCUAGGAGCCAACAUACUGCAGUGUCAGGAAAUAUUCACUGUUUUAAAGGUAGAAAAAGAAGUUAGAACUUGUAAGUUUCUUAACAAACAGCAUGUCUGAAAUCAAAGAAAACAGUUUCAUUUUUUUUGCUUGCUUUGUUUAUUUUGGGCGGUAUAUUUACUGGAGCUAGUUUGGUUGAAGCAAAGGAAGGUGAGCUCAUGCUUUUUUACUCACAAGUGAUGACAGAUUUCUUUGAAGGAAAUUUGUUUAUUCUGAUUUGCAUAAUGGUAAUAGUUUCCAUUAUGGUUUUGUCAGAAAAUAUAUAUAAGAGAAGGCAGCCGGUGCACGAAACUCCGGUGUGAAGAAGAGUAAUAGUUUGUCUGAAAAUAGUUGGGCUAUAAUUUCCACGUCCGUGACUAGUUGCAUAUUUUGCUGAGUUCCAUAUUUACUUCUAUUAAUAAAUUGGGUGGAAAUUAAUGCAUUAGACAAACAUGUUGUUCUCAACUUACAAGGAAGAAUAGAAAUCUUUCAUAAACCAAAAGAAAAUGAAAUACCAUUCAAAAAACAAAAGAAAAAGAAAUAUAACUUUUCAUCAAGAUUGUGCCCAAAUGAUCAGGGAGGUGAAACUGGAAAACUGCCAAAGACUUUUUGAUUGGGCCCAAAUGAUGGGGCUCAUCCGUUGGGCUUGGGCAUAGCCGUGUGUGCAGUAUUUAUCACUCUGUCGUUCUAAUAAACGACUAUUCCGAGAAAAUUUUAAGCUCAGCUUAAAAAAAAAGGCUUAUCAUUUAUGAAACGGACCGGUCGUUUUCCAGCCAUUCGUCGUGUGGCUAUACCACGGCAGGUCAGCCAAAAUACGAGCGUUUAACUUUGGUUAAUAAUGCACAUGUAAUUUCGUGUAAAUCCAAAAUUUGCCCAAUCGCCAGAGCCCGUGGGCCCAACAAUGAAUGAAAUGCCUAUUUUUUCUCGCAUUUUAAUCCUUAAUUAACAUUCUGUAUUUCAACCACUAAUUCUUAAAAUUUUACAAUUUGAUUUCAAAAACAGAAUUAAAUUAUUAUUCCUCCUAAAUAUGUUCAUUGAACUUGAAUGAAUCAACAAGCAUGGAACAAUAUACAAUAGCAAAGCUCAUGUAAGCUGUCUCAAAAUUAUAUAUUAUCUUUGGAUAUGGUAAACUAUUUGUUUGAAUAGUACAAAGCAAUUUCUGCACUGAUCGAUCAUGAUUAAUAGCCGAGACCUGAUGUGAAACAUAUUUAUAUUCUCAAUAUAGCAUUAGAAGACAAGCUAACUUGGCUUAACAUGACGAUUACAGGAUAUCUUGGCCAAACAUAUUGCAAGAAGACGGAACUAUCUAGGGUAGUUCACAGGAGGUUCCAAGCUGCCUACCAGAAUUGCAAGAUCAAUGUCUUUGUCUUCAAACUUUUUGAUGAAAGGAUGACUCUGAAAACAUUAAAAAAAAAAAAAGAGUUAAAAAUCAUUAUCUAGCUUUUCCCUUGGGUGAAAAACCAGGAAAAAAAAAUCCAAAAUAGACAAAUCGGACACUAGGUCACUAACCAAGAGAUCCAAAGAUGAUGCCCUGUCUCGAGGAUUCUUCUGUAUGCUGCAGUUACCAUAGAAAACAUAAUCAUGCACGUUACUAGUUAAAGCACUAAGAAAUUUGAAAAAUAGAGAACAUGAUAAAUGGGAAAAUUAUUCUAAGACGUUUGAACCAGGAAACUUAUUCGACCACUUAAUAUCCCCUGGUAAGUCCUAAGCUGGCUAGCAGUUGUGUGGAAAGAUGAAAAAGGUAUGCUUGUUUCAGUCAGUUUCUUGCUCAUCUGCUCUUUUGGCUGAGGCAUCGGUACUGAGGAGGUAGCAUGUUUGGUGUCACGUUGAGGUUUUAAAAUGUCAGAAUUUAAUCAGACUCUCUUAUGCUGGUUCAAACCUUCAUGAAAAGUCUGUUCCCUAGGGACAUUGCUGCUAUCAAGUGAAGCAAUUAUCUCAAAUUCCAGGGAAAUUCAAGUUGUUGCAGUUAGAAAGGACACAGAAGGAUGGCAGAGAGAGUAGCAAAAAAAUGCAAGAACAGGUUUAUGCACCCCCUCCCUCCCCUCUGUUAAUGGAAAAAACUAGUGCCUAAGAACUUCAUAAAUGACAAAUGGAAACAGGAUUAGAAAGCUACAUAUGUGCUGAAGCAACAUAACAAAAUUUGAAAUAAAUUUGUGCAAGUUAUUACCAGGAUGAUACAAAUGAACAGAACUCAGGGGAGAACUGAUCUGGAGGAGCAGAUGGUGGGGGGCUCUCCACAAUGGCUUCUAAAAGCUCAUAAAAACUUGGCCAGCUUUGCUGAUCUUCAGAUUUCAUAUAUGGAAAACGCCCUAUAGCACACUCAAGUACUACCAGGCCUAAACUCCAAAUAUCACUGCUAUAAUCGUAGGUGCUCCCACUAAUUCGCUCUGGCUAAAGAGGGGGAGAAAAAGAUCAUUACAACUGAAUUAUGAUUGAUAUAGAAACAGGUAACAACUACAUAAUUUUUUCCUUUUUUUUUUUUUUGGUGAGGGGUAUCAUAAUUAAUGAACUGGUCAAGUUAAUAGUUUUCGCUAUCUUGUGCUAGCACAGAAAUAAAACCAAGACAUACCGACAUGUAAUUGUAAGUUCCAACAAAUGUGUCCCUUUGGCCCAUAGAACUAGCUAGCAUUGCACUCACUCCAAAAUCAGUGAUCUUCACUUCUCCCUUCUGGUUUACCAAUAGAUUAGAUGGCUUAAUGUCCCUAUGUAUGACAUGCCGUUCGUGGUGCAGGUAAACAAGACCCUGUAAAACCUGUAAUAGAUGCAUAAUUAUCAGGAGAAAAGGAAGAAGAGAUCAACCAACUAUAAUGAUUCUUUUUUUCUUCUUUUUUUUUUUUUUGGCUUUCUAGAUUUCCAAGAAAGAAGCUUAUAAACCUGCUUACACACGACAGCUAGAUAAGGCUCAAGAAUGGUUUUAACUUGUCUAAUCACAUCCGCUAGAGAUCCACGGUCCAUAUAUUCCAACACAAGAGAAAUAGCUCCAUUGUGAUAGAAUGAGUGGUAGCAAACAACAACAUGAGAACACUGCGAGGCUUGGUUUAUUUUCAGCUCCUGAACAAUUUGUUUGCGUAUAUCUUCUUGUAUGUUCAUCUGGAUGACCUGUAAUGCACCAUUCAAUGAACUUCAAGGUUAUAAACAAAUAUGAUUCAUCAGUAUGAUCCGGAAUCAGAAAUGCCCUAAUCAUCCAAGAAAUCUCCAUUAUCUAAAGUUGAUGGAGUAAUAUUAUAAAUAUUCAAGGCAAGAUGUCAAAUUUUCAAGUGGAAAAUGAAGCGCAUUCACUCCCUCCAUUUAUGUGCUUCUUAUGGUUCAAAAGGACGUCAACAAAAUAAAUAGUCAGACCAUUAACAGCCUUACCGAUAUUUCCAUGUGAAGCAAACAAAACAAGAAUGUAAACAAUUGAAGUCAAUAUAUUUGUAUGAUAAUAGGUUUCUAGAAUAUCAAUUUGUGAGUCCAAAGAUUAAAAAGGCAAUAUAAAAAGCUUUUUAUAUUAGUGAAACAACCUUCAAUGCAAAAAAUGUGCCAAUCCAUUUAUGACGAACGAGUUGCACUACACCUCCACUCCCCUUUCCAAUGACUUUGAUUGUCUCAAGGUCUUCCAAUGAGAACUCAAAAUCAAGUUCUUUGUUUUCUGAAGGCUGUCCAAAUGGUAAGAAUGAAAUUAAUAAAAUAUUAACUUCUGCACUGUUCUGUAUAUAAUUCGAAAGAAAAGCAAGAUCUAAUCAUUAUAAGAAACCAUGGAAAACAGAAUGAAAGAGAGAGCUAGUAAUUUUUCUCAUUUGAAAGGAAGAAAAACUAAUGGAAUCUAACAGUUAUUAGUCGUAUCAGAUAAUAACAAUUCAAUCAACUGAAAACUAACUCGAAGUGGAUAUGAGAUCUUUUUUAUUAAAAAAAAUAAAAUAAAAUAAAUGCUACACACAGUUGAUUACAAAAUUACAGCACACUUACACGAGAUUCCUUCUCUUCAGAGAUAAGCCGGAGUCCUUUCUGAUUCAAAAGUAAAUCUCCAUCAUGAAAUGUACCGCUAGCAGUCCUGAAAUUUAACGGUAUACACAAAUUACUCAAGAAUAAAAACGCACAUCAGAUUAAUAUUAAAAAGCAAUCAACUGAAGCUUCACUUCUUUUUUUUUUUUUUUUCAAUCUUUCUUCUAAUUUUCAACACUUUGUAGCAUAAUCGACAAAAUACUGAGAUAAAAAAGAAACUGGAAGAGAAAUUAAGAGAGUGAAGCAAUGAUAAGAUAGACUUAUAGAUGACAAAGAAAAUUGAUCUAUCGAAUCGAAGUUUGCCAUAUAAAUACAUAUGAAGAAAUGGAAAGAGAGAACUUACAAGAAAGAGGUGAUGGGGGUUUCUUGAGCUGGAACAGAGAGCUUGAGUUGUUGCAAUGGCUUCUUGCUCUUCAUUUUUCAAUUUCAAAUUUCUGCUAAACUGAACUAUUUUGUUACGAAUUUUAGGGUUUUAAACUUCUUUUUUUUUUUUUUUUUUUAAAUAGUUAAAGAGAAAGCAUGAGAGAGGGAGGGCGAGAGGGGGUGUUUCGUUGCUUAUUGAGAAUGAGUCGAUUUUGACUCGUUGAUAAAGUGUACAUGAAUUCAAACAAGAAUACCGCGCAUUAUUAAAGUGGGAGAGUUAAUAUUUAGUCCCUAUAUUAUUUCCAAAAUAUAAUUUCAUCCUUAUAUUCUUAAGAAUUUACCAUUUAAUCCCUAUGCUUUAAAUCUAGUAAACACGUUAAUGUAGUCAGUGGUUACACGAGUCAUUUAGAUUCUUUAAUUUAUUUUAAUUCGAUUGUUAGUAAAGCGGACUCUAACUUCUCACGAAUGCUUAUGGAAUGAAGCAAGUAUAAUAUUUUUUUUUUCCUUACAUUUUUCUUUAUUUUUGUGAUUACUUUUUGAGAGAAUAGAUAUCAUUUUCAUAAGAUUUUUACAUUUUAAUUAAUAUUUAUUAUUAUUUGUAUUUUAAAUCACACUAAUUUUUCGCCAUCGACUUAGCUUGAUGCAAGCAAAUAUAAUCAUUAAAAUACUUAUAACAGUAAUAACUACGGUGAUUUAUAAGUGCUAGAACUUGAAACAAUAUUUAAGAGUAAUUGAAGAUAGUUGUUAAGUUUUUUUUUUUAAUAUAUUUUUAUUUAUGACUUUCAUAAUAAGUCAUUGCUAUGGAUAUUACUCUUAAAAUCUAGAUGCAUUUUAAAUUCAAAUGAUCGUUUUUUUUUUUUUGUAUUUAUUGGGAUUUAAUUACUAAAUUAUAUUGAGAAUGAUUUAUUGAAAGGUUUGUGUUGGAUUCUAAUUUAUAACUAUAUAAAGUUUUGGAUUCUUUGAUGCAUUUUUCUUAGAUUUCAAUUUUGAAUUUUGAAGAAGCAAAAAUAUUGCACUUUAAUUUUUUUACAUAAAUAUAACUUGAAAAAUAUGAGUAACAAUUUAAGAUCCUCCAAAAUAUUUCUUACCAAUUUAUACGUGCUACGUAACGUAUUCUAGUUAAGUGUAAUUAGGUAUUAUCCAAUUGAUAAAAAGGAAAGGGAAUUGACAUAAUUUUUAAAUAUACGUAUAACAUUAACAUAAUUUUUAAAUAUAUGUAUAACAUUAAAAUGAAGGGAAAAAAAAGUUAAAUAAGAUAAUUUUAUCUACUUAAAUGCACAAGUUUCUAUCCUAAAAAAAUACGUUGAAUCAAAAUAGACUUGAAAUUAAUUUUUUUUUUUUUAAAUUUGUUAUUUUUUAUGCAAAAUAUAUUAUUCAAAAUAUUUAUUUAUGAAAGAGAAUUCAUUUAAAUUGGGUUAAACUAUAUUUUUCACCCUUACACUUUCGAGUUGUUUCAUUUUUAUUUUAAAAUGACUUUUACUUUUUGUCACCCUAGAUUGCACUUUUUGUUUUUAUUUCACUCUAAUUUCAAAAUUGGACUGAAUUGAAUAAUUAAAAACAUUAACGGUAGGAAAACGUUUUAAGAGGACUAAAAGGAGGCUAUGCAGGAAUAUUUGACAUUCUCCCCUCUUUGUAAUCGUCCACACGUGUAAAUUCCCGAGGAAAAAAAAAUUCCAUAGAGUAAAAUGUAUUUUACUAUUUCCAUUCUUUAAAAAAAAUAAAAAUAAAAAAAAUCGAACGCGUAAGGAAACGUUUCGAAACGUUGCCAAUCCAAAUCACAUGGCCAUAGCUUCUUCUUCCCCCGACUUUAGCUUCGCAGAGACGAAAGCUUCCUUCCUUUUUGAAACGCAAAAACCAAAAACAAACAGUAAAAAAUAACCCCAAAUGCAAAAUAAUGGGCAACAAGAUCGCGCGCACAACGCAAGUCUCUGCCACGGAGUACUAUCUCCACGAUUUACCUUCUUCUUACAAUUUGGUGCUCAAGGAGGUGCUUGGUCGCGGCCGCUUCUUCAAGUCAAUUCUCUGUAAGCACGAUGAGGGUUUAGUCCUCGUUAAAGUCUAUUUCAAGCGAGGCGAUCCUAUCAAUCUGAGAGAGUAUGAGCGCCGUCUCGAGCAAAUCAAGGACACCUUCCUUGCCCUUGACCACCCUCAUGUCUGGCCUUUCCAGGUACAGCUUGAAUUUUCCUUUUUCUUCCCUGCAUUUUGUUUUGGCGUCUAGCUAAUAAUAUUUGAAGUUUUAGAUAACUGUAGUUUGGUUAGAAUUGAGAAUAUUUGAAUAAAAUUUUACUCAAUUGAAAAUUACUUAGCUAUAUAGUCGUGUAGACAUUUGAAGACAACGGAAGUGCGAGUUCGAGGUGAAUGUUUUGUUAUAGAGAAAAAUGACUGGUAACACCAGUGUGUUAGUCUGCGAAAUUUUGAUAUUAGCCUCAGUUAGCUGAGUUAUAUGGUUGUUCGGAGGCUAAGGUGUUAAGAAUUUUCUUAAUAUUUUUCGCUUACGUUACCUUUACCUUUUUAGGAAAUGAAAUUGAUCAUUAUUGCAUGAGCUUCUAAUAAUGUAAUGUUCUCUUCCAGUUUUGGCAAGAAACAGAUAAAGCGGCUUAUCUUUUGAGGCAAUAUUUCUUCAAUAAUCUUCAUGAUCGCUUGGGCACUCGGCCUUUCCUCAGUUUAGUGGAGAAGAAGUGGUUGGCUUUUCAGGUCUCUGUUUGUAUAUCUCUUAGCUAUCUGUCUAUUUGAUAAAUAACUUCUCACGGGAGAAAGAAAUUCAUGUUCACAUACCAUUUACUGGUGGUUUGCAGUUACUUCUUGCUGUGAAACAGUGUCAUGAGAAGGGUAUUUGUCAUGGUGAGUGCAGUAUGCUCAGAGAUUGUUGCUUUUGCAGUGAUAAUAUUUUGUUUUAUCCAUGUCCAUUUGCAUUGCAAUAGGUGAUAUUAAGUGUGAGAAUGUUCUGGUCACUUCCUGGAAUUGGCUCUAUCUUGCUGAUUUUGCUUCAUUUAAACCGACUUACAUUCCCUAUGAUGACCCAUCGGAUUUCUCAUUCUUCUUUGACACGGGAGGAAGAAGGCUCUGCUAUCUUGCGCCUGAGGUUGGUCCUUAACUGUUUCAUAAUCCUCUUUCUUCCUCUUCCCCUUCCCCUUCCCCUUCCCUCUUUUCUUCUAAAUGUAAGUCUAUAUUUAUCAGUAGUUUCUUAUAUGUCAAUUACAUUGUUUCCUUACAAUAGGCCAACUGAUCCUUGAUUAAGAAUUGUAAUGAGCCACCAGCUGAAUGACUGGCAUAUAUUUUGACUAGAAUUAAAGUUGCUGGUUUGCAGAUAUAAGUUAUGCUUGUGAGGGACACAUGCUAUGACCAAGGCUUUAAAUGUCAUGAACUGCAUUUGAAAACUAUUUGCUGUUAUACCUCUUUCCUUCCCCUUUUCCUUUAUAUUUUACAGUUUCUAUAUUCCUACAAGAUCAUGUGUCUAUAGUGUAUUAUAGUUACAUAUCCUUAUAUUUUCAGAGAUUCUAUGAGCAUGGAGGUGAGAUGCAGGUUGCUCAAGAUGCACCAUUAAGGCCCUCCAUGGAUAUCUUUGCUGUUGGGUGAGCAUUUGCAGUUACAAGCAUUUUUAUUAAAUUAGGGCAUCAAAUAAAUGGUGAUUGUAUCAGUUUUUUUCCCUUUUAGAAAUGACCUCUUUUCUUAAUUUCUUCAGUAAAUAAUUGGUGAGGUAAAGCAUGUUAAAAUUAGCAGGUCCUGCGUUUUAUCGUUUAUUCUUGAACAACUCAAAAUAAAAAUUUUGUUUUGUGAAGGUGCUGGUUAUUAAAGUUUUUUCAUGUGCUAGAGACUUGGGUUGUAAUCCUACCUGCUCCAAGAAAUAAGGAGUAUUAGGAUCUUGUGAGGUUGGAUUACGAUUGUCCUUUUACCUGAUAUUAUUGACCGUAGAUUUUUCCUUUUGUCAUGGUGGUUGUGGGGAGGGAAUGGUUCUGAAGAAGGCGUUGCAUUGCAUGAGGCUUUCCACAUUGUGGGCUCUAGGAAGGGUCAGAUGUAUGUAACGUUCCCCUUCUGCUAAUGAGUUUGUUUCUGUGGUUUGAACCUGUUAGUUCAGAUGCAUGAAAUCUUUCCAUGGGUGGGGUUUAGUGUUCUUUUCAAAUUUUAAAGCGAGAGAAUUCAAAUGCCAUUUCUUGUAGGAGUUUUGCCAUAAAUACAUCUAAUAUCAGUUCAACCAAUCUCUUAGGUCAUGCACUGGCUUUCUGUAUUUUGUUUUCUGUUUCAUGAUGUGAUAAUUGGUUUAUGGUGUUGUUGCAUGUAUAUAAUAGGUGUGUGAUUGCGGAGCUUUUCCUCGAGGGUCAGCAACUGUUUGAACUCUCCCAGCUUCUUGCUUAUCGUAGAGGACAGUAUGAUCCUAGCCAACAUCUUGAGAAGGUUCUGCCUCCCUCCUCCUCUCUGUACAUCUGUUCUAAUAUGCCAACCAAAGGGACAAAAAAGGAAAAAUAUUGUACUUAAUCUCAACUUGAAGUAUUGACUUUCUUCUGGUUUUGUACUUAUUCGAAAUAUAUUUGUAUGUUUCCUAUUAGCUUUAAAAUUUAAGUUUUCACUUUCACUUGUGUUGUUCUGCCUUUAUGAGACUUCUUAUAGCGUGAGCAAGAAUUAAUAAAUCAGUGCUCAGGUUACUUUGUUUUUUCCUCUUAAAUUUUGUAUUGGUUCUUACUUGUGCUUGACAAGUUUUUUAUUAAUUCAUCUGCUUUGUGAAUACAGAUUCCAGAUACUGGAAUCCGAAAGAUGAUUCUUCAUAUGAUCCAGUUGGAACCAGAGGCACGACUUUCUGCGGAAAGCUACCUGCAAAGUUAUGCAGCUGUUGUGUUUCCAACCUACUUCUCACCGUUUCUGCAUAAUUUCUACUGCUGCUGGAAUCCUCUUCAUUCUGAUAUGAGGGUAAGAUAUUUUAUAAUACAUGAAGUAAAAUUGGUUGUACCUAUUGCUAUUAACAUGAGCCUGGCUGCUGUUUUAUUUAGGUUGCGAUGUGCCAGAGUGUUUUCCAUGAAAUACUUAAGCAAAUGAUGGGCGACCGGACAAGUGAAGAGACUGGAGCUGGGAAUAGUACAUCUGAAAAUGGCGUUAGUGGUUACCCGUCAUUAGAGACAGUUGAAAUACAAAACUUGGACUUGGCAAGGGACUCAAGAAAGAGAGAAAUGACCGAUAAAGGUAUAGUUCGUGAUCAAUACAAGCUUCUUGGUGAUAUUAGUACCCUUCUUGGGGAUGUAAAACAAAGCAAUGACUAUUCUAGUGUCAAGUUGAUGCCUGAAAGUGCACCCAGUUCUGCAUUUUCCCAGGACAUUAAGCAAUGCAGCAUACAAUCACCUGGCGAGCUUCUUCAGGCUAUCUCCAAUGCAUUUAGGAAAAAUGAUCAUCCCUUUUUGAAAAAGAUCACAAUGGAUGAUUUGAGUUCGUUGAUGUCUGAGUAUGACAGUCAAUCUGAUACCUUUGGCAUGCCUUUUUUACCUUUACCAGAAGAUAGUAUGAAGUGUGAAGGUAUGGUUCUGAUUGCCUCUCUCCUUUGUUCCUGCAUACGCAAUGUCAAGUUGCCUCAUUUGAGGAGGGGGGCCAUACUUCUACUGAAGUCUUCUUCAUUAUAUAUUGAUGAUGAAGAUCGCUUGCAGCGUGUACUGCCUUAUGUUAUUGCUAUGCUCUCGGAUCCAGCAGCAAUAGUGCGUUGUGCUGCCCUAGAGACUCUGUGUGACAUUCUGCCUUUAGUUCGAGAUUUUCCACCUAGUGAUGCAAAGAUAUUCCCCGAAUAUAUUCUUCCGAUGCUUUCCAUGCUUCCUGAUGAUCCAGAGGAAAGUGUGAGAAUAUGUUAUGCUAGCAAUAUAGCUAAGCUGGCUCUAACUGCUUACGGUUUCUUGAUUCACUCUAUAAGCCUGAGCGAGGCUGGUGUCCUUGAUGAAAUGACUUCAGCACGCAAGUCAUUAGCAUCAUCCAUUGAGACAUCCAGACAUCAGCAGAGGGUGAAUAAUAAUUCACAGCUAGCACAGCUGAGGAAAUCCAUUGCUGAGGUUGUUCAAGAACUUGUGAUGGGCCCAAAACAAACUCCAAAUAUCAGGAGAGCGCUCCUUCAGGACAUUGGCAAUCUAUGCUGCUUCUUUGGUCAGAGACAGAGUAAUGACUUUCUGUUACCAAUCCUUCCUGCGUUUCUCAACGAUCGAGAUGAGCAACUAAGGGCAUUAUUCUAUGGGAAGAUUGUAUAUGUCUGCUUCUUUGUGGGCCAAAGAAGUGUAGAGGAGUAUCUUCUACCUUACAUCGAGCAAGCUUUAAGUGAUCAAACUGAGGCUGUCAUUGUUAAUGCAUUGGACUGUUUGGCAAUCCUAUGUAAACAUGGCUUCUUGCGGAAGCGAAUAUUGCUUGAAAUGAUAGAACACGCCUUUCCUUUGUUAUGUUAUCCAAGUCAGUGGGUUAGAAGAUCAGCUGUCACUUUCAUUGCAGCCAGCAGUGAGAGCUUAGGUGCUGUGGAUUCCUAUGUUUUCCUUGCACCAGUUAUACGCCCUUUCCUUAGAAGACAACCUGCUUCCCUAGCUUCUGAGAAGUCUCUACUUUUAUGUUUGAAGCCUCCUGUCUCCAGGCAGGUAUUUUACCAAGUUUUAGAAAAUGCUAGAAGUUCAGAUAUGUUGGAGAGACAGAGAAAAAUAUGGUACAAUUCGUCAACACAGUCCAAACAAUGGGAAAGUGCUGAUGUGCUCAGAAGAGAGGAUGGGGAAGUAAAUUCUGUGAAGAGUUGGUCUGACAAGAAAUCAAGUCCUGAUAUUCAGAAACACGAUAUUAAUGCAUUGGAGCAGCAAGAGGAUGGUGAGGCAAAGCUGAGAGCUAUUGGCUUGAUAAGCAAUGUUUCUAGUGUGGUUGACAUUCGUGAUCCCCUAAGCUCAGAAAAGUUGCAAUUCUCAGGCUACAUGUCUCCACAGGUUGGUGGCGUGAAUAGCUUCAUACAUGAUAAGUCCUCAGAGGGCAUACCUUUGUACUCUUUUAGCAUGGACAGGCGAGCAGUGAAAAUUCCUCCUGCAGCUUCUGAUUCUUCAUUGCGUAUGAACUCUCUUGGAAUUGGUUCAUCUUACAUGCCUUGGAUGGAUCCAGUAAACAAAUCAUUUAGCUUGGCUAGUUCUGUUCCUGCACCUAAGCUGGUUUCUGGCUCUUUCAGCAUCAGCAAUGGAUCUAAACAGUUCUACAGAGUGGUACAUGAACCAGAAAGCAGGGAAAGUGAUCAGACAUCAUAUGUUAAUAGUAAAUUUCAAGAGAUGGGAUUAUCUGGUGCAACGAAGGGAGGAUCUUUUACAGUGGAAGAUGCUUCUGCUCCAACUGAUUUAACAGGAUUGCCGUCCUUUGCUCGGACUGCAUCAGUUCCAGACUCAGGUUGGAGACCUCGUGGAGUGUUGGUAGCACACUUGCAGGAGCAUCGCUCAGCUGUCAAUGAUAUUGCAAUUUCAAAUGAUCAUAGCCUGUUUGUAAGUGCAUCUGAUGAUUCAACUGUCAAGGUGUGGGAUUCAAGAAAGUUGGAGAAGGACAUCUCCUUCAGAUCAAGGCUCACUUAUCAUUUGGAAGGAAGUCGAGCACUUUGCACUGUAAUGCUCCGCAACUCUCCUCAAGUUGUUGUUGGAGCGUGCGAUGGCGUGAUGCAUCUAUUUUCUGUUGAUCACAUAUCUAGGGGCCUUGGCAAUGUUGUUGAGAAGUAUUCAGGUAUUGCUGAUAUAAAAAAGAAGGAUAUCAAGGAAGGUGCAAUACUUAGCCUUUUGAACUACACUGCAGAUAAUAGUGCUAGUCAGAUUGUCAUGUAUAGUACUCAAAAUUGUGGAAUCCAUCUCUGGGAUAUUAGAGCAAAUGCAAAUGCGUGGACAUUAAAAGCUGUUCCUGAGGAAGGUUAUGUUUCUUCUCUGGUAACAAGCCCCUGUGGGAAUUGGUUUGUCUCAGGAUCUUCGAGGGGUGUGCUCACACUUUGGGAUCUAAGGUUCCUCAUACCUGUGAACUCAUGGCAAUAUUCUCUUGUAUGCCCCAUAGAAAAGAUGUGCCUCUUUGUUCCUCCUCCAAAUGUCACAUUGUCUAGUACUGCACGACCCCUAAUAUAUGUUGCUGCUGGUUGCAGUGAAGUUUCUCUAUGGAAUGCCGAGAAUGGGAGCUGUCACCAGGUACAUGGCAAUUGUUUUUAUUUUUUUAAUACACAACCUCUGGGGUGUUGCAUGGGUGAUAACUUGACAAGACGUGUUCACACACUUUGUGAACAUUGAAAAAGUGCAGACAAAAAUCAAAAUAUUUGUAAAUUUACUUGUUGGGUUUUGAUGGAGGAAAAAGGUGGUCUUGAUGAUUAAUUUUUGUAAAGGCUGAAAAUGGUUACUUUAGUUUAUUUUAUUUUGUUAAGGAAGUAGUUGUUGUGGUCUCAUACUGCUAAGUCUUAAGUUCUUUGUUGUUUCUGCAGCUAAUCUGAUUAGUUGACAAGCUUAUCCCUAUAUGUCCAACACCCCAUCUUUCCCUAGAUCUGAUCCUAACCAUCAGAGUUUUUCAACAAACUAGCCUGAAGUGACUAGUAUUGAAAAGGAAAUUUGGCUAAGGUUAUGUGAUGAGCACAUGGAGAGUCCUCUUGUAACUUUAUGGAAUUUUUGUCUUAUUUAUUUAUUUAUUUAUUUUUCAGGUAUUGAGGCUGGCAAAUUAUGACAAUGAUAUUGAAAUAUCUGACAUGCCAUGGGCCUUGGCCAGACCAACCGGUAAGGCAAACCUUAAACCAGAUAUGAGGCGGAAUGUCAAUCCGAAGUAUAAAGUUGAUGAGCUGAAUAAUCCUCCUCCCCGUCUUCCUGGUAUCCAUUCAAUGCUUCCUUUACCUGGGGGUGAUUUGUUGACUGGUGGUACCGACUUGAAGAUACGUCGGUGGGACCAUUUCAGGUUAUUGCUUGAAUUUUCCUUGUUCUCCACCUAAUCUUCAUCUUAUGGCAGUGAACUGAUGCUGCUUCUUUAUGACUGUAGCCCUGAAAGAAGUUACUGUAUUUGUGGGCCAAAUUUGAACGGAGUUGGAAAUGAUGAUUUAUUUGAAAUAAAAUCAAGUUUUGGAGUUCAAGUUGUACAGGUAUGUUGAAGUUUUCUAGAUUCUUUUCCAGUACAGAUUCUUUGAACUUUAAGCUUCAAUUCUUUGAUAAAUUUCCAUUUAUUUUCUUUUCUUCAUGCAAAUAGGAUUUUAUUGUGGAGGUAUUUUCUAAAAUAAUAGGACUAGUAGUCUGUAAUUCAUUAUUGCAAAAGAUCAUCUGAAACUUGGUAUUCUCAGGUCAAAUUGUUACUGAAACAAUACAAUAAUCUGAAUAUUAAAUUGUGCUUGUGAGUAAUUGGAAAAAAAGAAACAUGGAAAGUUUGCUUUUAUUUUUGUCCUCCUUAAUAAACAGGUGGCCAUUGUUCGUCUUUUCUAUGUAUUCUUAUCUUAUCCAAUUGCAUCAAUGGUUAGCUUAUUUUCAGUUGCAACCAACAUGAAUGCUGUUCAUCGUUGCAUCUUUUGAAUGAAAAUUUAUGGUAUCGUAUAGUUCAUGUUACUUAUAUUAUCGGUCAAUUCCUAUCACUCUUGUCUUUACGUAUAUCCUUUGUUAAUUUCACAGCAUUUUAAGUCACUUAAAAGUGUUGGCUGCUUACAGUUGAUGUUAUAAUAGGUGGCUGAAUACCUCUUUUUAAUUUAUUUCCUAAGCAUUUUAGGUUUGUAAUGCCAAAAUUAUGUUUCUUCCCAACAGGAGACAAAACGGCGAAAUCUAACACCCAAGUUGACUGCAAAGGCUGUUCUUGCAGCUGCUGCUACUGAUUCUGCUGGCUGCCACCGAGAUUCCAUCCUCUCUUUGGCUUCUGUCAAGUUGAACCAGAGACUUUUGAUUUCAAGCAGUAGAGAUGGGGCUAUCAAGGUUUGGAAGUAAUUUAACCUAAGCAUUAAAGUGCUCUAUUGUACAUAUGAUAUUGAUUUUGUAUAUAGCAUAUUAAGACUAGGAAGUUAAUUUUCCUUUGGUUUUAUUCUCAACCACUUGCCUAUACCAUAUAACUAGCAACCCUCCAAGAAAGGAAAAGAAAGCCCUUUUAGGAUUUGUACAGUGAUCAGUUAUACACUUCAUAAUUUAUUUACUGAAGGAAAAUAGCUGUGGUAUCUAAGUGUUCAUAAAAUUAUCUUCGCAGUCAUUUUGUACUCUUGCUUAUACAUGUAACCUUCAGAGUAUGCUGCCUCAUUUUCUGUUCACCUGGACCUUAUUAUCUCAUUUUCUAUUGGCUACUGGAACCAUCUAAUUGUCUAGAUAACAGUUAUGGAGGUUGUAGGGUACGGAAGGUGUGAUUACAUUUGACAAUUGAUUGGAUAUUAUCCUUAAAUCCCAUGCUAUGGUGGUAUUCUUUGAUAGUAAGAUGAUAAUGAGAAAAAAAAAAAAGGAGCACAAAACCCUAAAUAUUACUCCCUCCGUCCCAUUUUAUUUGCAUGGUUUGACAAAACACACAUAUUAAGAAUUUAGUCAAUAAAAGUUAUUUUGUCUUUUUUUACCCUUAACUCAUUAAGAUAUUAAUAAAAGUUUUUCAUUUAAUGAAGGAUCAUAAAAGUUAUCAUGGGAAAAAUAAUUAUUCACAUGUAUAAAUUUCGAAACCUUGCAAACAUUUUGGGACAUCCGAAAAAGGAAUAACAAGCAAACAAAAUGAGACGGAGGGAGUAUUUUAUUUUUGUUGUUAUUAUUAUCAUUAAGGUAUGUUUUGGCUCUUAUGUGAAAAAAUAGAUUGAAAGACCAGCUACAUAUUAGAUGGCUCAAUGCAUCCUGGUGAAUACCAUCUGAAAUUUGGUUCUCUUUUCAUAUAAACUAUGCUUAUAUUAGAUGACUGUUGGAAUGUAGGCUGUGUGAGUACUAUCUGAAAUUUGGUUCCGUUUUCAUAUAAACCAUGCCUAUUGUAUGUCUAGGAACUCAGUCUCUAUCUUGCUAUUUUUUGGGUUUUACAUUUCACUGCAUCUUAUUUCAUUGUGCUAAUGACCCAAAAAAAAAAAUCCGAGCAACAAAAGUCAACAACUAACAUUAGUCCUAAACUCAAGCAUUAUCAAAAAAGUGCAAUUGUACCGAAACCUUCAGCUAAGAUUCGUUGCCAUUGUACCCAUUUGAUCUAAAGUACACCAUCACUUUUUUGCAAUUAAGUAGAAUUGACAAAGAGUCGUGUCAGAAUUGAUUUUGGAGACGAGUGAUUGUAAAACAUUAUAGUUAUAAUAUAUUGUAUUUCAUUUCAAUUAUGAUCAAAUGGGUAGACUUGCUAUGAAUAUUUAAAGGUCAGGGUAAAAUGGUGUAUUCUGGAAGGUUUGAAUUUUUGACCAUUAAGCCUAUUUAAUUUGGUGUUAUGUCUUGUGAUUUUAUGAAUUGGCGUUGACACUGAAUGUUGCUUUGUCACUGCAUAUUGAGUUUUAAGAGUUUUUCAUAUUUUAGGAAAGUGCCAUUUAGUGAGAGUAUUAUCAUUUCUAUUCUUUUAAUCCUGAAAAUUUCAUGUCAUAUUCCUGUUUUGCUUUGGGUUUCUUAUUUGUGGUGUUUUGUAAUCUAUGCCAAUCCAAACUUCUUGUUUCUAGUGAAUUUUUGGUGUGCUCUGCGGCAAAUUGUUAUUAUGAGGGUAAUUACCUAAUGACCUUAAUGUUUCCUCGUUUUUUUUUUUGGCUUUCUCCUGUCCUUUGCAACUAUUUCCACCAGAAAAUGCCUAUAAAACAAGCGUAGCAAUAUGAGAACAUUUAGUAAUCAAUGCAUACAUCAAAUGCAACAUAAAGUUGCACCAACUUGGAAUGGUAGGAUGGUUGAGUAACAAGGAACUGACCAUGGAUAAGUGGACAGAGCUGCAAGAGAAAGAGGUGGUCAGAUAGAAUAUGUUUCUAGGUAAUAAUAGACUAAAUAAUUUGCUUAAAGUUUAGCCAAGAUAGAUUCUAAUGAUGGAAUUGGCUAGACUUUAGUUGGGUCACAAGGCCUUGUUUAGGUCUUUAGCGUUGGUAUUGUUUUUUUUUUAUGUUCUGCAAUACUGAGAUAAAGAUAUCUUGAGUUUUAUAGUUGACAAGGAUUUUGGUGAUGGAAUCCAAUCCAUACAAUGCUUGCUCAAACCUUUUAUUUGAGUUAAUUGCUGAUGGAGUAUUUUAUUUUUGUUGUUAUUAUUAUCAUUAAGGUAUGUUUUGGCUCUUAUGUGAAAAAAUAGAUUGAAAGACCAGCUACAUAUUAGAUGGCUCAAUGCAUCCUGGUGAAUACCAUCUGAAAUUUGGUUCUCUUUUCAUAUAAACUAUGCUUAUAUUAGAUGACUGUUGGAAUGUAGGCUGUGUGAGUACUAUCUGAAAUUUGGUUCCGUUUUCAUAUAAACCAUGCCUAUUGUAUGUCUAGGAACUCAGUCUCUAUCUUGCUAUUUUUUGGGUUUUACAUUUCACUGCAUCUUAUUUCAUUGUGCUAAUGACCCAAAAAAAAAAAUCCGAGCAACAAAAGUCAACAACUAACAUUAGUCCUAAACUCAAGCAUUAUCAAAAAAGUGCAAUUGUACCGAAACCUUCAGCUAAGAUUCGUUGCCAUUGUACCCAUUUGAUCUAAAGUACACCAUCACUUUUUUGCAAUUAAGUAGAAUUGACAAAGAGUCGUGUCAGAAUUGAUUUUGGAGACGAGUGAUUGUAAAACAUUAUAGUUAUAAUAUAUUGUAUUUCAUUUCAAUUAUGAUCAAAUGGGUAGACUUGCUAUGAAUAUUUAAAGGUCAGGGUAAAAUGGUGUAUUCUGGAAGGUUUGAAUUUUUGACCAUUAAGCCUAUUUAAUUUGGUGUUAUGUCUUGUGAUUUUAUGAAUUGGCGUUGACACUGAAUGUUGCUUUGUCACUGCAUAUUGAGUUUUAAGAGUUUUUCAUAUUUUAGGAAAGUGCCAUUUAGUGAGAGUAUUAUCAUUUCUAUUCUUUUAAUCCUGAAAAUUUCAUGUCAUAUUCCUGUUUUGCUUUGGGUUUCUUAUUUGUGGUGUUUUGUAAUCUAUGCCAAUCCAAACUUCUUGUUUCUAGUGAAUUUUUGGUGUGCUCUGCGGCAAAUUGUUAUUAUGAGGGUAAUUACCUAAUGACCUUAAUGUUUCCUCGUUUUUUUUUUUGGCUUUCUCCUGUCCUUUGCAACUAUUUCCACCAGAAAAUGCCUAUAAAACAAGCGUAGCAAUAUGAGAACAUUUAGUAAUCAAUGCAUACAUCAAAUGCAACAUAAAGUUGCACCAACUUGGAAUGGUAGGAUGGUUGAGUAACAAGGAACUGACCAUGGAUAAGUGGACAGAGCUGCAAGAGAAAGAGGUGGUCAGAUAGAAUAUGUUUCUAGGUAAUAAUAGACUAAAUAAUUUGCUUAAAGUUUAGCCAAGAUAGAUUCUAAUGAUGGAAUUGGCUAGACUUUAGUUGGGUCACAAGGCCUUGUUUAGGUCUUUAGCGUUGGUAUUGUUUUUUUUUUAUGUUCUGCAAUACUGAGAUAAAGAUAUCUUGAGUUUUAUAGUUGACAAGGAUUUUGGUGAUGGAAUCCAAUCCAUACAAUGCUUGCUCAAACCUUUUAUUUGAGUUAAUUGCUGAUGAUAAUUGCAAAUCAGAAGAGAAAUUUGGCAAGAUAGCUUUUUAACUGGAAUUUCAAAAACAUCCACAAUAGUCUUUAUUAGUUCAUAUUCUUUGUUUGUGUAUUGUACAUAUUCAUGUUAGUUCACCGCUGAGGACUAGCGACACUUGUCUGACAGCUCUGGAGACUCUCCAAACUUCAUGUUGUACACUUUGCCAUGACUCUGCAGUCUUAAGCCUCUUUGCUUUUUCAAUGGCAUCAUCAAUACCUGGGAAGGAGUUUGAUCCGUAGACAUUAUGCUUUGCAGGUGCAUAUAUCUGCAGGAUAUAGAAAUAUUAGCUUGAUCCUUCUUGGAUAGUUGGAGCUGUGCUUUCUCUUUUGCAUAUAUGCUUUGAUGUUUUCACAAUGGGCUUUGUCACAAAACUCGUCUUUUUGUGUAUGCUAGAUUUCAAAAAGAAAUUGGUGAACAUGGAAAACAACUUAAAUUAGGGAUUCAGGAAUCAUUUAAGGAAGCACGUACCAAAUGCUUAUACCAUGGCCUACCGGAGAGUCCAUCUUGGUCUGUAAAUGCUCUUUCUGCCAUCAUCAGCCUGUCAUUGAUCUCUCUUACUUUUAGGUGGUCUUUCUUCAAUAUUGAUGUCCAGCCUCUGCUUUCUUCUAUUGCCUGGAAAGUAAUACUUCUGUUUUAGAAACAUUCUUUAUGCCUGUCUUGAGAUACAGAUGCUUUGAUUAUACCUUUCUCUUCUUAUGUAUCUUGGUGGCUGCUUUGGUUAGCUCGUCAAUGGACUUGAACAAUGGAUCAAGGCUUAUGCCCUUGUUUGAGAUCACAUCUUCCAACUCCUUUGCGCUUCUCUGUCACAUAUUAAUUUGAUUUCUUGGAUUAACUUUUGUCACUGAACUCUCAGUCGGAAAUUGUAUACAAUGUUUGUUUACCAUUUCAACUUAAAGAUACCUGGAGCUCAUAUGCAUAGGAUAGAUAAUUAAAAGGUAAAAACUCCUCAUCUGCUAACCAAAGAGCAACCAAACCCCAAACGCUAGCCACUGUGUUUUCAAGGGCAGACUUAAGAGCAAAGAAAAAAUUGGCAAAAUAAAAGAAAAGAAAAAUAUAUGUAUUUUCAGGCAUAGUUCAAUUGACAUUUUAGACUCUUUAUGAUUCAUAACUUGGUGCAAAUACCUUAUAUAGCAAUAACUACCUGUGUGUUGGUUCCUUUUAUGUUCUGAAUGGUUUUUGAUAUGAAUUUCUUACAAGUUGAAUUGCUUCAAAAUUAAUAUUUGUGUAUAAUUGCACAUUCUAUAAUCAAUAUGCUAUAAAUAAAGAAUAUUGUGGAUUGUUUUUGGCUGGAGUAAGAUUUCAUAUUUUUAGAUCCUUAUAGAUAGAAGUUUGAUGUCAAACCUGCAACAUGUCUUUGAAACAUUGGAUCACCAAACUUCUUCAUCCAGAUGAAGUCAUCAUACAUUGAAUGGUAUACUGGGUAACCUGUGGGUGAUUGUUAGCAUCAGAAAGUCAUCAUAUAUGCAUUAGUAUAUGCGUGUGAUCUGAAGUAAAAGAUUGUACUGAGGGGGGUCAGAGGAUGUAAUAUUUUUGUUACCUUCUCCAUAAGACACAUCAGCUGAUGCAACACCAAUAUGUUGCACAAAGGCUGCAUAAUCUGAUCCUGCACGGCCUAAUCUCCCAAUCUUCAUAUACAAAGUACAAAUUAGUGGGUGUUAAAUAGUUUCAAGUUACAUAAUAAGCUGAAAACAUUCACAUGAUAAGAGUCAUCUUCCAGCUGUAAGUUAUGCUCUGUGCAGUAUGAUUGCAGGUAAUAAAAUGUAGUUCGUCUUGCUUGAAAGGUUCAUUAGGAUCACAUUAUGAAGUGGUAGAAUGAGAUUAGGUAAUGUUUACCUCAGGAGAGCUGCUGGAAACAAUCCAUGAUUCGUAGAUGGUCUGUGAUGUGUUUUCUGGGUCUUUAACCUUCACAAAUAAGUACUGAAUGUGAAUCUGAUUGUGAUGAGUGAGAGGGAUGACUUGGUAAUAUUGUACUCCAGAGAAUCAUGCUCAUACAGAUAUCUUGUUUUAUUAUUAUUAUUAUUAUUAUUAUUAUUAUUAUUAUUGUUUUCAGUAUAUCAAAAAGUUUUUAAGGGGAAGGGGGUGCUCUGGUUUGAACUUCUGACUUCCUAUGGUACAAAGCUGACACUUGAUCAUUGGCUUACCAGCAUAAUGGCUUUUGGUAUCAUUUUUGAAAUUGCUUUAUAUAACAGGAAAACAGAUAGAAGAAAUAUUUUCCUUUCGUGGCUUAAAUAUCAUUACUUUAUUGCUUAUGCUUUCUGGUGAUGCUACUUAGUUCUAGUUAUUUGGAUACCUGCUGAGUAGCCUGUAUGAGCAGUUCAUCAAGUUGAGGAGUUGCAGAGGCAUAAAAUCCUGCUCCAUGUACUGCAGAGUCAACAUUUAAGUACGCUACAGACCCUGAAGCUAGCAUUUCUCUGUUAUCUUCAACCCACUCAGUUGAUCCUAUCUGGAAAUAACACUUGGUUUAUGUCACACAUACACACGCAGUUGCAUUCAUACUCAAGUGCAAACACACAAACACAGGGAGAGAGAGAGACCAGGCCAUAUUCCUCAGCAUCCCAGUUGCACAAGACAAUUGUUCUUCGUGGUUUCCAUCCUCUUUUCUGUAGCUUUGCCAAUCUCUGAGCGACCUACAAUGCAUAUCAAAGUUUUGUCAAGGGCUUAUAGUUCUUAUGCUAUUAUUUACUCCUAUGCUAUUAUUUUCUUUGAUUGAGAAGAUAGUUAAUAAGGCAGCAUGUAUUGGAGCCACAAAUACCUCUAGCAUUGCUGCUGUGCCACUGUUGGGAUCAACUGCUCCAAAUGUCCAUGCAUCCCGAUGAUUACCCAGAAGGACAAAUCUAGAAGUAAUUGUAGCAGGGUGAUUAAAUCAUUAGAAGGGGCAUAUAUGUUUUGCUAAUUGCUUGAUCUCUUCUUUUAUUUUAUUUUGCUUUGGUGAUUACUAAAGUACUAUAAAGGUGCUUAAAUAUACAAAUUUAGCAGACAGAUUACAUGUUCUAGCUGUUUAAAUGUUUCUCACCGAUCAGGUUCUUCUGCUCCUUCAAUCACACCAAUAACAUUUUGAAUUGUUGCUACCGUCUGCUUUCCCUGAAAUCUUGUCGAUAGGUGGAGUCAUAUAGAAGUUCUUUUUGAUAGGUAGGCCUUUUUUAAUUUGUUUGUCUGUGUGUGCGUGUGUUUUCAAGUGUUUCAAUUGUAUGAUGCAUGAGAUAUAUUCUAUACUGAAACUAGGUUGUUGAAUACUUACAGUAUAACUGAGGUUUAAAACCCCUGGCCCUGGUCCAACCCUGUAAACUGGACCAUCUUCGCUUCCUUGCCAGUCCUCAUUUGCUAUUUGUCCACUGAUUGAUCUCAUAAUUGUUUCACCAUCAGUUGCUGAUAUUGGCAAUGAAGGUAUCAAUGGAACAUAUCCUCCCUUUUCUACUUCAUUAUCUGAUAACCUCUCGCAACCCUGGAUACUUGCCCAUCCAGGCGUGGUAGGAUCACCAGCACCAUCAUAAACAGAUCCUACCUGAACUCCACUUGGUGGCAUCCACUUCGCGUAUGGAAACCAUCCUUCUCCACUGUCUCCACCGCCAUAGUCUUUCCUGUCUGUAUAGAUGACUGCCCCUAUAGCACCGGCCUCAAAUGCAUUAUGCACAAUAUCUCCUCUAUAAAUUUUUCCAUACCUUGCUAAUACAAUAGUGCCGGAGACAUUCAACCCCAUUUCUUUCAGUGUUGUAUAAUCUUCUACUCGUCCAUAGUUCACAUAGGUCGCAGGUCCACUUACCGUACCUGACUUUGCAUAUGCAUGAAAAGUUGGUAGAACUUCAUCUGCUACAUCUGCAUAUGGAUCUCCAUCAUAUAUCUCUUGAUGGGGAUCGAAAAUGAUCGGCUUUUCUGUAGGUAGGGUUGUUAGAGCUAAAGAACGCGAAACAGGAUAAGUUAGGGACACAUCAUAGGAGGCGAUGUGUGAUUCUAUAUUGUAGGAAUUGAGUGUAGAUAGAACAUAGGCUGCAUCCUCUGCGUUGGCUGGUGUGCCGGCAACAUGUGGCCGACGGGUGAGCAUGUAGAGAUUAUGCGAUAUUGAGGCAUUGUCAGAUAGGGAUUCAGAUAUGUAGAGGGAGUGAUAGUAGGAUUUUGGACAAGUGAAGAGCAAGGAGAAAGAUGUUGCAAUGGCAAGGAAGACAGCGGUGACUGUUUUGAACAUGACGCUUAGUUGUUUUUGGUAACUUAGAGAACAGAGGUUAUACUUACUGCUGAUUGUUGUUGAAAAGGCUAUUGCAGAGGUAUCUUUUAGAUUUUAGCAAGAGAAAGCUGAGUCAAUGUCUUACUGGAGAUUGCAGAGAAAACGAGGAAAGUUAUUUGUCCUAUUAUUCGUGUAAAAAUUGUUUCUGGAGUUGAUAAUGAUUUUAAUAAACAAACUUUAUAUUCUGCUUUCAAAGAAAAAUACGAGUACGACACCAUUUGCUAUUUUGUUAGAUAGUGGCCAUAUACGAUAUCCUGUCAUUUCUUUUUUCUUGCUUUUUGAUUGAUUUGAGACAGGGACCAUUUCCUACCUUUUAUUCAUUAUCCAAGUGGAGGACUGGAUAGUGAUGAACUGGACGUCCCUUUUUCAGAAAUGGAAGGCACGUCAACAUGGUUGGGAUUCCGUCGUCUAUCUAAUGUGACUUGCAUAAAAAUGUAAGGUUUGUGGAUUUUAUCUUCUCUCUGAGUCUCCUAUGCGUCUUAUUUCUGCCUAUUACAGAUCCUUUUUCUUUUUUAAUCUCCGAUUUUGGUUAAUCUUUCUUCCUUCCCCUCUAACAUUGGGUUAGCCCAACGGUUAAGAGAAAGUAGAUGUCAUUGACAUCUUAUCAUCUGAUUGACAAGUCUUUCAAUUCAAGAGCUUGUUUACUGUAAAUUUUACAUAAAAAGACAAGAUACCCUCUCAUCAAUCAGCAUAGGGGUGAUAAGGAGCUCGUUAAAGAGCAAAAUACCGAUUGUUAUGCAAUCAAUUUCAACAGCUUUUUGAUGGAAGUAGAUUACUCAAGUUCUUAGGUUUGAUGCUCCUCUUCCUGCUUAUCCAUCAUGUAGAUAGAGCUUCAAUAUUAUUGUAUGCAGGAUUUGGAGAUCCAAAUUGUCAAUUUUAUAUCUUUUAUUUCUUCUUGGCCUUCGUUAGAUUAUGUAUCACAUAUUAUUACUAAAGUCUAUUAAAACUCAUAAUCAAUCAUUUGAUAGCAUCUUUUCCUGUGAAUUGCAUUUGGUAGUUGCCAAAUAUAUUGUCUAGAAACUAUAGAUAAUUUUUUUUUCUCUCCAAACUUAUGUAGUUUACAAAUUAGCGUUACCUUUGAAUUGUAAUAAUGAUAUUUCUUUAUUUGAUUGGUAAGUAUAUAUCUUUUUGUUUAAUAAGGGUCAAAUGCAUAUGAACUAUUAUAGUUUUUCAUUGUUUGUAAAUUUUAUAUUUAUUAAAUACUUUAACUUAUAAAAUAAUUAAUGAUUUUGAAGAAACAUCAGUUGAGGAUGAAUGUAAAAUUUUCUUGGACCGUACUGGUCUCCGGGAGCAUGUGUAAUCGAGGAUGGUGUUUGGACAGAUGAAGUCACGGGACCAGAUUUGAUUUCAAUUAUUAAUCGUCUUUUUGACAAAAUCUACAUUUUAAUAUCUUCCUAGAUUUAAAUUUAAUGUUCAUUUCUAAAUUGAUUUUACGUUAUUAUCAAUUGAGAACAACUGUCUCAGUUCCAAAGGCCGAUGGAGGGGGCGGAUGGGUGGCCGUGGCCCCCAUCCCAUAACAUAUAAAGUUUUUUAAGAUUGACCUUUUAGAAAGUAAAAAUUUUCAAUUUUACCUCUUGUGUAUAUAUCUUUUUAACUAGCCAAAUCGAUAAUUAAAAAAUGAUUAAAAUAUUAACUUAAUUUUAUUAGCUAAGAUUUGUAGGUAUAAUGUAAUUAUUCGGCAUACCUUAAGCUAUGGGCUAAACAGUCUUCUGAGCCAGCCCAUAUAUUCUUCUUCUUCUUCUUCUUCUGUUCUUUUUAUUAUUUUGUUAUUUGAACUGAGCCUAUCCAUUUCGUCUUAUAAUGAUCUCUCCACCAAACGAAUGGGACCGGUACUGCUACAGUGACACUACUCAAGAAAAAAGCAGAAGAAGAAAAUGCUACUUUUCUCACAGCCAAAAGGUAAAUAUAAAUAAGGGAAAGAUCCAAAACCCAAACACAAAUAAAUUCUCUUUCUCACAUCGCCAAAAUUCUCUACAACAGCUACCUAAAUUCAGUCUCAUCAAACAUUUGUUUCCUUUAUCCAUCUCUACCAAGUGGAGCCUACCAAUUUCUUUUACAUUAACAGUUAAUCACUCUGUGACUUGCCACAAUGCCCUGAAAUAAUGAAGCCAUGUUGAGGACUGUUGAACUUAAAUUUUACUCAGAUAAAGAUAUACGUACCUCAAACUUAAACUUAUUCGUAAUUUAUAAUGAAAAGAAUUAUACUUUUAUAGACUCAAACUCGAACUAGGCUUAUUUAAAUUUAUAAUUAAACUUGAGCGGAUUAUCUAGAUUUAUAAAAAUUUCUUGAAAAAACAAGAACUGGGUUUUCAAAUUUUCAGUUUUGAUUAUCUAAUUUGCAAGCAGAGACUUGCUAAUUAUUAGGCUAAUAAUUCUAUGAUAAUUAUUCUAGAACGAUGAUUUAUUGUUAGGUAAUGGAAACAUAUAAAAAAAUAAUAAUUAAAAAGAAAAGAAAAGAAGAAAAACAACUAUCACUCAUCACCUAUUAAAGAAAGAAAGAAAGAAUAUAUUCACCUUCACACACUAACACAAAGAGACACAUUCACGGGCACUAGAAAUCAACAAGAACAAAAAGCGAAAAAGAAAUUUUUUUUUUGAAGAAACAACGUUUUCUAUAACCAGAAAAGCGCAAUCAGUCUUUGUGGCUUAGAUUGUUUCUCUCACUUAACAUGGAUGUCAGUGGAAGAAGCACCCGUGAACUCCCUUUCUCUCAAACCUCACGUCACUUUUCACCUAAACCCAAGUACUAACUACUAUCAAACCUUAUAUAAACUCUCCCUUCAGUCUUCGCUUUCAUUUCUCAAUUCUCAUUCCAUAUACGUUUACAAAAAAAUAAAGGGAGAGAGAAAGAAAAUGUCAAAUUCUAAACACAUUCCCCGCUUUUUCUUUCUUCUUCUUCUUCUUAUUCUGCUUUUGAACUCAGGGCAGACGGUAGGCCAUACGAAAGGAAUUAGGCCAAAAAAGUCUGCAACUAAUAUACCAACUGUAAAUCAAACUAGAGUACAAUUCUCAGAGCAGCAAUUCAUGAAGUGGGUCAAUUUUGUUGGUAAACUAAAGCAUUCACUUUUUAAAACUGCAAAGAAUAAGCUUUUCCCUUCUUAUACUCUGACUGUAGACAAGAAUCCAGCAGCUGGUGAUUUUACUUCUAUCCAGGACGCCAUUGAUUCUCUUCCUUUCAUUAAUCUUGUUAGAGUUGUCAUCAAAGUCCAUGCAGGAGUUUACAAGUGAGUUCUUUUCUUUUAUUUUCUUUUUCUUUUUUUAUGUUUUUAUCACAACUUGUUAUUGAGAACAUGUGCAAUGUGAUAUAUGUUUUUCUUGAAUUAUUAUUUUAGUAAUUUAAAUUAUUGUCUUAUGUUUUUUGGUGGUCUUGGUUUUGGCUCUGCCUCUGCCAAACAAAUUGGUCUGAUUAUGCAGAAUCAUGGAUUCUAGAGUCGUUUUUGUCUAUAUUCACUUUCAUGUUAUUUCCUGUUGUUAAUUCAAUUUGAGAAAUGGAGGAAAGUGAUUCCACCUUUUGUUUUAUAUUGUGUCGUUUUCCUUUUCUUUUUCCUCAUCUAAUUUGAUGUUAUUUAGAGUUUGAACAUGACUUCACAAUUCUAUAUUCGAUUCCAAUAUCAUCAAGUCAAAAUUGCUGACCUUUUUUCUACCAAAAAUUCUCAAUUGAUCUCUUUGAAUUUUUUUUUUUUUAUUUAUGAUCGGAAUAAUAUUAUAAUUUAUAUGCUAAAUUAGUGAAACUCGUGUCUUUUUUUUCACAUUUUUCUUAACUAAGAAACUUGUUUAUUGGCAGAGAGAAAGUGAAUAUACCUCCAUUAAAAUCCUUCAUAACCAUAGAAGGAGCAGGAGCAGAUAAAACCAUAGUUGAAUGGGGAGACACAGCUCAAACACCUGGAGCUAAAGGCCAACCUAUGGGAACUUACAGUUCUGCAACAUUUGCCGUAAAUUCACCUUAUUUUAUUGCCAAGAAUAUUACAUUCAAGAACACAACCCCAGUGCCUCCACCAGGAGCUAUAGGAAAACAAGCAGUGGCAUUCAGAAUAUCAGCAGAUACUGCAGCUUUUUUGGGGUGUAGAUUUUUGGGAGCUCAGGACACACUCUAUGAUCAUUUGGGAAGACAUUAUUACAAGGAUUGUUACAUUGAAGGCUCUGUUGAUUUCAUUUUUGGGAAUGGCUUGUCCUUAUUCGAGGUAAGUUCAGUUAAUUAUUUGAUAUUCCAUUUAUAAUUAAACAGUAGUUAAGAAUGGUGGUGGGGUUCCAGGGAUGUCACGUGCAUGCAAUAGCACAAUAUACAGGAGCUCUAACAGCGCAAGGGAGAAGCAGUCUGCUGGAAGACACAGGGUUUUCGUUUGUGAACUGUAAAGUCACGGGUUCAGGAGCUCUGUACCUCGGAAGGGCAUGGGGUCCUUUUUCUAGGGUGGUCUUUGCCUAUACUUAUAUGGACAACAUUAUCAUCCCUAAAGGCUGGUAUAAUUGGGGCGAUCCUACUCGUGAAAUGUAAGUUCAAUAGUUAAAUUGUAAAAAAAAAAAAAAAAAAAAAAAAAAAUUAGCAAAUUGUAUGUUUUUUUUGUUUUUUUUUGUUCAAAAGAAAUUUCGUUUCUUUGAAAAAUAACUCUCAAUCAAAACAGCCGUCACGGGGCAUUAUUGCUUUCAGUGGACGUUUUUUUUUAAAACAACUGCUAGCUAGGCUUUAGUGGGCGUUUGGACGGCGCCAUAACAUACACUCGAUAGGUUUUAGGUGAGAUCAGCUUUUUGGAACGCACGGUUUGUCCUCUUUGUAACCGAAUGACCAAAAUACCCACAGAGAUUCCUCGCGUCGUCCACAUGCUAAUCCAUGGGCAGAAUCGUCAAACGGUGAAAAAGGGGUGGUUACAAUUUGGAAGCGAGACGCAGACCAUGUAUAUAUAUCGUCUGUCUUCUUCCUUGUUUAAUCUUUACUACUGCAAAAUCUACGUGUAAUGCCCCUAAAAAGACUGCACAGAAAACCCAGUCCCCCUACCCUAGCCAUAUACAUUACUGCAUCUAUUUGCGUUAGCUUUUAAUUUAGUUUAUGGCAUCUAAUUACCUAACCCUAAAGUUUCCUUUCCCUUCUCUAUUGGCAUUUUCAGGUUGUUUUAACUUAUUUGGAAUUGGCAGGACGGUGUUCUAUGGGCAAUACAAGUGCACAGGGCCAGGAGCUAGAUUUGCAGGGAGAGUGUCAUGGUCAAGAGAACUUACUGAUGAGGAAGCUAAGCCUUUUAUUUCUCUUAGCUACAUUGAUGGAUCUGAAUGGAUCAAAAUAUAAACUCCUAGUCCUAAAUGUCCUUGUCAUGUUAAUUACAUCUCAUCUCAUCUGUAAAAAAGUAAAACUAAAAACCAUCUUAGUGUGAGAAUUUUGGCCUAUAAUUUUUAUACUUUUUUUUUUUUUUUUAUUUGAUUUGAUAAAUUGAGUUUGACAAUGGGCCUAUGAUUCACUUAGUGACUUAGGCUUGGGCCUUUGUACUAAUUAGUUAGGGUUUUUUUUUUUAAUAAAAAUAAAAAAAUUAAAAAUAAGGGCUACUAGUACUAGAUGUUUGGAAAUAAAAUUUGAUCUGCAAAUUAUUGCUGUUUAAAGCUGGAUUCAUUCAGUUGAGCUUAUUCUAUUAUUUAGCUGAUAAAUUUAAUUUUUUCAAGAUUGGAAUUUAUUUUAUUUGUUCAUUUAAUUAAUCAUCAUCCAACUAAAUGGUAGAACGAUGUUUUAAUUCAUUAGGGAAAUAUAUUUAAUACUUAAACCAAAACACUUUUGGAAUUGAUUUAAUAUAUAGGAGGGUACGUUAACCCAAUUCCUAAUUAAGGUCUGCAUAAAAUUUUUAUAGUUUGUUUUUUAAUUUGUAUUUACAAUGCGACUCCAGUCACCGUUUCCAACCCUCUAUUAGAUUUGCAUAAACAGUGAUACAGUUACUGGUGAAGUUACAAAAGCUUGAUAAACAUGUCUAUCUAGUCUUGAAGGGUGGCGAGGUUAAAAAAGGCACCUCUCUUGUUCUUUAGCUGCACAUAAGUUCCUCUCUCUACCAUUUUCCCAUCUGCAACAAAGGCAAUGGAAUCAAGCUUCUUGAUCGUAUUAAGCCGGUGAGCCACCACAAUGGUACUUCUUGCCACCAUUAUUCGAUCCAAUGCUUCUUGCACAACUUGUUCAGAUUGCACAUCAAGUGCACUUGUUGCCUCAUCUAGUAAUAAUAUUGUUGGGUUCCUAAUUAUAGCUCUUGCAAUUGCUAUUCUUUGCUUUUGCCCUCCUGAAAGUUGCACUCCUCUUUCCCCACAUUCUGUCUCGUAUCCAUCUUUUAGCGACCUGCACAAUACGAAUGGAAAAAUCAGAAAGGUGGGUUUCUCUCUAUUUCAUUAGCCUGUUCUUGAAAAUGCAAGCUUUUGAUAUGGAAGAACAUAAACAAAAAGUUAGAAAUAGAUAAGUUACCAUAUGUCUAUAUACUUACGAGAUGAAUUCAUGGGCAUUGGCGGCUCUGGCAGCCUCCACCACCUCAUUCUCGGAAGCAUCGAGCUUUCCAAAGACAAUGUUGUCGCGGAUGCUGCCUGAAUAAAGCACAGGCUCCUGGCUGACAAGCGCGGUCUGCUUCCUAUACCAUUGAACAUCUAGUUGUCUUAUGUCUACACCAUCAACUUUAAGUGAACCACUUUCAACAUCAUAAAAUCUUUGAAUCAAUCCUAUUACUGUUGAUUUUCCGCACCCACUUUUCCCUACUAGUCCAAUGCUUGUUCCAGGCUUCACUUCCAAGCAAAAUUCGCGUAAUAUUAAUGUCUCUGGUCUACUUGGAUAUGCGAAAUCAAUUUUCUUCAUUUCUAUCCAUCCAGUUAAUUUUUCUAGCUUGGUUCCACUGCUAGCACUGUCCCCUCCCUGACAAAGAAAUUGCAAACUAAUUUAAUCAAACAGUUUCCAAAAGAUAAAUUAUAUAUCAAAACUUAAAAACUGUAACUUACAUUAUUGGAAGAGCCUGGAAUUAGAGAUUGUCUGUCAAGAAUCUGGAACACAGAUGCGAUUGCAGUGGAACCUUUUGCUAAAUCAGAAGUCAUGCUUCCUGCCUCAGCUAUAACCUUUCCAGUGCUUACAAGAAUAAAGAAUGUUUUGAACACAUCACCAGCUGAUAUCUCUCCUUUUUCUACUAAAGUCCCUCCAAACCAAAAAUCUAAAGCCCAUGACAUGAAAGUUAGGCAUUGCGCAGAGCCCAUUCCGAUUCCUGCUAGCCAUGAUUUUUUCCUUGCCUCUUUUCUUGGUUCCUCUUGUGCCUUAUCAAAUAAUUGAAGUACUUUUUGUACACUUCCAAAUGAAGUAACAAUUCUAUGGUUAUAUACUGCUUCUGCGGCAACUUGAGUAGAAUGAUUUUGUGCUUUGACAAAAUUUGUUGUCAUGCUAGAAAGCAAAACUUUUCUGGUGUAGAAACAUAGAAUUGUAAGCGGUUGAACUGAGAUCAUAACAAGUGCAAGCUUCCAAGCCACAACUAGUCCCAUGAUCAUUGCUAUGGUAACUGCAGAGGUUGUUUGAACUAAUAAAGAAACUCUAUCUGCGACAAGGGAUUUUACCAUGGUGGCUUCAUUACUCAAUCUUGAACAUAAAGCUCCACUAGAGUUUUGUUCUUCAUCGAACCAAGCCGCCUCAAAAGUCAAUAUCUUUUCUAGCAUUCUCAAUCGGAUUCUCUUCGUUAGCCUCUCACCCAUAUAACCAAAAUUGUAGUGCUGCACAAGAUUCAAGGUUAUAGAAAUCAAGGAAAGUGAGCAGAAUAUUAAGGAGUAUGUGCGCAUUCGAGCAUGGACUUGUUCAUGGCUUGGUGCAAAGAAAGCUGAUAUCAUGCCACCAAUGGUUAAGGCAUAUACAGGUUGCACUGCACCAAAGAUUAUAGCUGAAAGACUUCCUAUUAGGCCUUGCUUCCAUUCAGGAGAGUUCAAAGACAAAAGGCGAGAGAAGGAAGGUGGGGGGUGAGAUACAGGCUUUUUUGGGCUGUCAAUGAUAGGUAGUGGUGAUGCAAAGAUAGCUGGACUUGAUUUUCCUGUGCUUAUCCGGCCACCGCUGCUUCUUGCAACUGAAGACAAAUGUAGUUGAUCAGGGUUUUGUUCAUGGUCAUCACAACUGAACUGCCCUUGUAGCUUUGCUAGGUUAGCAUAGUGUCCAUUUUUUCUCUGGAUCAGAUCAUUAUGUGAACCUAAUUCAAUGAUGCAUCCAUUGUUAACCACUGCAAUGAGGUCUGCAUUUCUUAUUGUAGCUAGCUUGUGUGCAACCACCUGAAGAUGCAUAAUUCAAUAGCUAGCUUAGUUAGACAAUAUUGAAUGAGAUAAAUUUGACUAGCAAUUCUAAUAAGAUCUAACAUAAUUUGAUGCAAAAAUCUAUUACCGUUUGAGCUGCUUUUGAGAAAUAUUUCACGGGUUCUAGUUAUAGGAAGUUUCAUGACAGCUAAACAAUACUCUCACUGCCUAUUUCAAUAGAAUAUAAAAUGAUUCUCCUCCCAUAAAAGUAGUUUCAAUCUUAAUCUCAAAUAUUAGUAGGAUUAGUGAGUAAAUUACCAGUGUAGUUCUUCCCAUGGAGGCUUGAUCAAGAGCAUUUUGGACUAGUUUUUCUGACUCAGAGUCAAGAGCACUUGUUGCUUCGUCGAGUAAGAGAAUAACAGGGUUCUUAACGAUGGCUCUAGCAAUGGCAAUACGCUGCUUCUGCCCGCCAGAUAAAAGUGCUCCUCUUUCUCCAACCUUUUCAAAUUAACCUAGGCAUGUCAGAUUUAAUCUAUGCUGAAAACGUCUAUAUAUAUAAACAAAAAAGAUGUGAAAUUUAUUUACCUUUGUCUCAUAACCUUCUGGAAGCUGUCUUAUAAAGUUAUGAGCAUUUGCAGCCAUAGCUGCGGCUGUGACUUCAUCCAUUGUAGCAUCAAGCUUUCCAAACAUGAUAUUCUCUUUAAUUGAUGUCCCAAAUAAAGCAUGUUCUUGGCUAACAAGACCCAUUUUUCCUCUUAUCCAUUUCAAAUUUAAUGUUCUUAUAUCAACACCAUCAAUCUUGACAAAUCCACCAUUAGCAUCAUAAAAUCGCUGUACUAAAGCAAUGGCAGUGGACUUUCCACUUCCACUUGCACCAACAAGGGCAACAGUUUUUCCUGCUUCAAUUUUAAGGCUAAAGUCUUUAAGGACAGUGGAAUCUGGUCGAGAUGGGUAUGUGAAUUUGACAUGUUCGAACUCUAUUUCACCUUGCAUUUUGUCUAAUACAAUUCCUUUUGUAUCUUCACUAUCAAUUUCUGGAACUCUGUCAAUCCUGUCAAAUAUUCGGGUGGCGGCAACAGAUGCUUCUGUGAAGUACUUCAAAUCAGGAAGUGCAAUUCCAAGGGAUCUGCAUUGCAUAUUUACUGCCUUAAUUUUGACUAACAAACACUCUUAAAAGGAAAAAAGUUAGCUCCUGAAAGUAAAAAAAAUAGAAGCUUUACUUGUUAAUUUGAUAAAUUUGUUUGUUCUUUUUAUGCUUACAAGGAAACAAGAAAUUAACCAAAAGGAAUCUAAAUGUUCUUUUUAGUAGUGCUCUAAAAUUAUCUUUACUAGUAAUGUUCUCCUUUUGACUGCCCUAAAAAGGUUGGUGCCUCUUGAUUAUAAUUUAGGCUAACCAGUAGUAUUUUUAAUAGUAUAUACUUAAGUGGAGGGAGAAAAAAAACACUUUGAAUCUAGAAAUAGUUAUAAUUAAAGAAUAAAAGCACAAACAUGUUCAUCAACAAAUAUGCUCAUGAAAUAUUAAGCUAUGUUCUUCUUUACUAAUUAAAAGGGAAAGUGUUAAAUCUUUGCAUGCUUUCAUAUUAUAUGCAAGAUCAUGCAACAAAUGCAACUUUAAUCCACUUUACAGAUAAAUGAAUAUAUAUUUUCUAGAAAUUAAUAAUGCCUUUUUUUGAAAAAAAAAAUAUUACAUAUAUAGAAAUUCUAACUUUCAAUGGAAUCAUUACAAAUUCUCAUGAUGAAAUAAAGGUACUUUCAAAAAGGAAACCCACAUUUUGAAUGAGGGAUAAUUAAUAAUUAGUACAAGGAGUUUAUCGACUAUAAUAGAGUUCCAUAUAUAUAUAUAUUAAUUAUAAUCAGCAAGAACAAAACCUAGAAUUACACAAAAAAGCAUAGUAUAACCAUGAAUUAAAAAGAAAUUAACUUUAAGGUGCUGUUCUUUCCUUUUUCAUAAUAUAUAUAACCAUGAAUUAAUUAGUAAAAGAAAAUUUGAGAAGGAUAUACAAUGAACAUUCAUUUAAUUAACACUUAUCUUAUCAUUAAUAAAUUUAGCUGCUUUUUAGCUAGUAAAUAAGAUUAAGCAAAUAGAGAUAAAUAUGUUUGAAAGAAAUAUAAGUAUGUAAAUUAGGAAAAAGAAUAUAAAAGUUGAAAGCUACAUACAGUCCUCCUAAUAUGAAGGAAAUGCCAGCAGCAUAUAUCCUCCCUCCACUUUCUCCUUUGUACAUAACCAAAUGACUUCCAUACCAAGCAAUAAAUGCCCAUAUGGCAAAGGAUAGUCCAGUGCUUCCUACUGCGAGACCUUUCGCUAUGCCUUGUUUGAUUCCUAGCUUUGAUGUCAUGUCCAAUAUUGCUGAAUAUCUAUCAACAAUCCUUUUCUCAGCAGUGAAUGCAUAAACUGUCUUAAUAGAGCUCAAGGCCUGCUCAACAAUGGCGUUUGCUUUACCAUACUCUUUAUGAGCCUUUUUGGACAAGUAGAGAAGGUAUUUCCCAUAAAUCAUUCCAGGUAUUAUUAACAAAAGCAAAGUUGGAAAAGCUACUAGAGACAGCCUCCAUGAAAAAUAGGUAGAAAAUGCAAGUCCUGAUAUGAAAACUGUUGCGUGCAUCAAAAAUAUGGGCACCUGAAAAUAAUUUUAAAGCAAGUGAAAAUUGAUAAAUUAUAUAUAUAAAUUAAAUUUCUAAAGGAAACUACAUGCUUUUAAGUGAUUAAUUAGAUCAAUAAAUUACAUAAUAAUAAAUAAAAAUGUUGUACCUUUUCACUAAGUACUUCUUGUAUAAGAGAAGUAUCUUUUGAAAUGCUAUUUAUGAUCUCUGAAGUAGUUGCUUCCUGUGAAUCAAAGAACCCAACUUCUUGUCUGAGAACAGCUUCCAAAUACUUGUAUCGGAUCUUCAAAACCUGUCGCUCACUGGUUUUGCUCCAACAGUAACCUUCUGUAACCAUCAAAUUUAUAUUAUAUACUUGAUUAGAUUCAAACUGAAAUAGAACAAUUAGGGUAUUCUAGCUAGGGUUCCAUAAAAUAAUGGCUCUCUAUUGAAGAUUUCAAUAUUGUGUCUCCUCAAUUGUAUACUAGCUAAUACCACCUUUAGCUCUGUGGAUGCUUUUUGGAAUUGCAACCCAUUAUUGUCAUCUCAUCUUCACACACACCUCUAGCUAGCACCUUUCGUCCUAAGAAAGCAAUAUAUAUAUAUAGAAAAAAUAGAACUUUUGAAAUUACCCAUAAAUGCCAUCGCCAUGACUGCUAAUCCCAAGUACACAAAAUAUAAGCUGCACUGUUAACAACACCAAAAAGGAAAUGUAAGUGUAUCAAUUAGUCUUAAAGCAAGAAAAUGAAAGAGAGAAAGAAAGUUGACUACCUUUUCAACUUCAGACAUGAAAUUGGCUUGAUUUUGUUGGGUCGUUUUAUUAUUACCAUAGCCUAAGCUGUUCAUUAUGCGGCUGGCAAAGACUAAAAGACAGUUAGUUGACAUGCCAUCUCCAAUAGCUCCAAUAGUACCCAUAAUCAUAAGCAACAUAUCAACCCAAUCUGCAUAUCUAAAGAUUAUGGCUAUGGACUUGCUCUCUUCCCUUCUGAUAUUCUUCUCAUUUUUCUUUGGAGAAGCCAUUCUUCUGAUUUGUUUCCAAUUUCUCAAAAGAUGACUGCUUUUUUCAGUAUCUGCUAGCUAUAGCACAUUAGAAAAAGAGAAAAGGCCAAAGAGGUAUUUGUGGCUGACUCAAAGAAAAUGAUUGCAUAUCUUCUUCUAUAUAUACAGGGAGAAUGCGAGCAGUGAUUUUCCAUCAACCAACCCGUGUUUGUUUUAUGAUUAUAUUAAUCAUAGUAUAAUUGCUUGGGGUGGUUAAAUAUAUUAUAUUAUAAUUAAUGUUAUAGUGGUGGAUACUUUCCAUAAGAUCAAAGCAUGAUUAAACCUAACAAAGGUCGAGUAUUUUCAAGAAAGAUGACUAAUUGGCCAUUUUAAUUUGUUUUUACUCCUUGCUUUUUCUUUCAUUUUUGUAGUUUAGUUAUAUAUAUUGUGAUGUGAGAUUGCUUUCAAAAAGAAAAUGUCCCGUCUUGUUGGCUUUUUAAGUUCACUAGUAAAUUAGCAGUCAAGGCAAAACGCUUAAGUGGUAAUCCAGGUUUCAUUUGGCUUUUGCAAUUCUUGCAAAUGCAUAUAUUAGAAAAAUUACAAAGACUAAUAAAUUAUAAGAAAUUCUCAUGGUUUUUGCACAAGUAAUGUAAGAUAAACAAAAAAAAAAAAAAUGAAUUAGCCCUAUUUUUUUAAAGAAAAAUGUCUUUAACAAGCUUAAUUAAUUAAUUAAUUAAGAAUUAAUCUGUAAAAAUUGAUGCAAAGAAAUAAGAAAAGUAAAGGAAAAAGGAGAGGAAAAGAGAGAUUAUUCAGUUGGUUAAACAUAUUACUAUAUUUUAAUCAAAAUGGGUCAGCUAAGUUUGCAUUCUGUCAUCCCACUACCCACAUACAUAUAUGUAUGUCUGUAGCUGUAUUCGUUGGACUUUGAAAUCCUUUGUGCAUCUCUCCAAAUGGGAAUCGAAAUUUUAUAUUAUUUAAUUAUAAUUUAAACCUCUUUUCUUACUUGCCGUUCCUUUUUCUCCUCUUCUUCUUCUUCUUCUUCUUCUUCUUCUUCUUCUUCUUCUUCUUCUUCUUCUUUUCAACUAGUAUCCAAAGAAGAGCUGUAAUAGAGAUCCUCUCUAAACCCUCCCACUGAAAGUAUGAUUAGACAAAUUAAGCUAAAUCGAAAUGAUGACUGAUUAAAGCGAUCUUCCCCAAAAUUCAUUUUCCUUUUUAAAAAUAUUGUUCAAUAACUAUAUAUAAUAAAUUAAUUUCAUUAGAUAAGAUAUAUAAUAUAAUCUCUAACAGAUUGUAUAAAAUAUACGUAAGAGAUUACAUGAAAUAUGUAAUCUCUAGUAGGACCAACAUCUACAUAUUCUAUAAUUAUACACAAAUUGAUGGAAUAAAAUCUAAUAAUCCCCAAUAACCAUAUAUUACAAAAUCCAAUAAUGUAUUUUUUUAUUUAUUUAAAUUUCCAUUACUAGGCAGGAUCCAUUAUGUAUAAAUCAUGUGCAAUGUCUGUUUAUUUUCUUAUUAGAAAAUGUUAUCUUCAUAUAUAAUGGCAUUCGAUUCUUUGCACAUAGAAUAAAGUACCUUUUACCAAAGUUAUUUCUUCAUAAAUUAUUUUAAUUUAUCAAUAUAUUACAGGAUCUUUAUCAAUCAUCAUCACCCUGAAAGGAAAAAAGAUCAAUUCUUCUUGAUGUAUAUAAUAGGUAGGGUACUUUCUUUUAUCAAAAAAAAAAAAAAAAAAGAUAUAUCAUACUAUACAUGAGAAGUAUAUUAGAAAUAUUAUGUAUAAUAUAUAUUCUAUUCGUUGUGAUGGAUUUGAUAUAUUUUCAUUAAUUUAUUUCUUAAUUUGAUGCCUAAUUGCAUAUAAGAAAAGGCUGUUCCUUUUAACUACUACGUUCUGUACCAAAUCCGUUUUUUAAAAAAUAAAAGCUUUGUUUAGCUCAUUUUUUUAUUUAUUUUUUGAAAUAGAACAUAUAGUUAUAACGUUAUAUACCAUUUGAAUUCCACAGUUGUAUAGAUUAAUUUGCAAAUGUCUAUAAAAAACAAUAAUUUCAACCUUUUUUUUUUCUCUUUUGAGUGUGGAUAAUUUGUUUCAUUUUUUUUUUUUAAUUAUUGGCAAAAGAGAAUUUGUCCUUGAUAAAUUAUUAUAUUUGAGUGCCACGUACCUCGGUCUGGACAUGUGAAAAAAAUAUUCUUUAAUUAUCAAUUAUUGUACAUUUCUGGGAUAAUAAAUGAAUAGAAAUUGCUAUCAACUAUCAGUUGGUCCAGUGGAAUGAGGUGUUGGAUCCUUUAAACAACGUUCAGGAUUCGAACCUUAACGUUGUAAAUGUAAAAAAUUGGAUUGGGAGACAUAAUGAGUCUCUGCAGAAUCCAAGUCUAAAUUAAUCUGCUAUGCCAGAAACUAAAUAGUUUAACAAAAUAAAAAAUAAAAAAUGUUAAAAAUUACAUAAACGUGAAUAUAUAUAAGCCGGCUUUUCCGCCAAAAUUUUAGGUAAUUUAAUAAGAAUUGGAUCGUUGUCCAAAUAAUCCCAUCAUUCUCCGUCCAACAUUAGGCUACAAAUCUCAAAGACAGUGCUAAUACCAAAUUAGUGGACUUAAUAAACAAUUAUAGUUGCUGUGAGACAAUGUGUUUUUCGUUAAAUAAAUCGCAUGAAAGCACUACUUUCUUUCACUCUUUAGAGUGUGAACCAAUUUUUUUACCUUCUUUUAAUUUUUUAAUCUUUUAGGUCAUAAUCAAGCCCUACGAAAAUAAUAAUUAAUCUUGGUUUUGUAGUAUUUUUCAUUUAAUAAGCAUGUGAAUCACGUUUUAUAUAUAUAUAUAUGGUAAUGGUAUUACUUUGCCUCAUCUAUUAAUUAAUAUUAUUAUAAUAGAACUGGGGAGGAAGUGUGGCUGCCGGAGAGGAAAUCUGAAGUCUUUGAGCAUUGAAACUUCGUAGAAAACAAUUGCAAUGUGACCUUUUAAGUGCUAACCAUUCCGACAUAGUGCAUAAUAAGAUAAUUAAGCACACGUUGCUUUUGGUCUGUGGUUGGAACUAGGUUUGUUAGUUUAAUGUUCACUAAAUAAGAUUGCAAAAAUUUUUUUUUUCUUUUAAUCACGUGUUGAUAUUCCUUUCAAAAAGAAAAAGAAACCUAUUGAGGGAAAUGAUUUUUUCUUAUUUGGAAAGGGUGAAAAAAUAUCAAAGAGGAAAAUAUGCAAAAUGAUAAUUUUCCUCAUAAAAUUAAAUUCUCUCCAAAUUGAAGAAAAACAUGAUGAUUGAAUUAAGAAAAUUAUAUUAUUUAAUUUGAAUUAGUACUCUCCCCUCCAAAUGAAAACUUAAGUAAAGGAACAUAUUUAGUAAAGUUUUCCCUUUUGUAAUUCUAAAAAUUAAAUAAAAAAAUAUUAUCAAUAAUCAGGCAUGUAGAUAUUUGGGGGAGGGGCUUGUUCUUUCUCUCCUGAUAGUCCCUCCUUUUCUCUUUUUUUUUAUCCUUUUUUAUAUAUUUUUUUAUAAUAAUUUAAUUUUAUGUCUGGUCUUUUAAGAGAAUGAGUCUCUUAGCAUUAGUUCGAAGAGAUCGAUAAAAUCCUAAUAUAUUUUCUUAAAAAAGACAAAAAAAAAAAAUAACUAAAAUUUUGAAAUGAUCAAUGAACAUUAAAUAAAAAUAUAAAAAAGGUGUAUAUGCAAGAUAUCAUGUAAGCUAGAAAUAUAAGUCAUUAACUAGAAGUAUGGAAUAUUCUAAUUUCAUAUUGGCAUAUGCAUACUGGCACAACAAAAGCAGUCUGUGAUUGAUUUAUUAAAUUUAACCAUGAAAUUAGGCUUUACGUGGGUCUUCUUCUUUAAUCCCAAGCCACUAGCUUUAAUUAUCAAAACUAUCAUCUUACAUCAUCAACAUAAAGAGUGAAAAAUAUACACAAAGCUAUGGCUGGUGGGAUUGACUUAACCUAUUUGUUUUUUUUUUAUUUUAUCAAAAUUUUUUUAGGAUGAUCUAUCCAUAGUUCUAGCCAUUUCAUUAGCGUACAAAAAUGUGACAAACAAACAGAAACAUGAAAAUGACAAAAAGCAAGGACCAAGAGAGACUCGCUAAAAACGAGAUUUAAAAAGUGAGCUUUCUAUCGCCAUCAAGCAAAAUAUAAACUAAAUGUCACUUACCUUUAAUUGCAUGAAAGUGGUUGUCACAAAGACACAAGCGAUAUAAAGAAGGUAUUUUUGAAGAUUUAUUAAACAAAAGUUAAAGCAAAACAAUAAUAAUGACUCACAAACCACUGCCAUUGCUGAUGCAGAUCAGAAGACAAUCAGAAGACAAGAGGUGUUUCAGGGGUCCAUGGCUUCACCAUUCCAUAUUUUCUUUUCUAAAUAUGGUCAUGCAAAAGGAUUCCUAUUACAUCAAACAGUCCUUCCUUCCCCAUAAAACCUUUAACAUGUAUACAGAAUGAGAAAAAAAAAAAAUAUAUAUAUAUAUAUAUAUAUAUAUAAGUUCGAAAAAAACUAGUAUUAGUGACUUCUUGACAACAACAGCUUACAUAUAAGUUACAACUGAAAGUGACUUGUUAACCGCUGGUUUCGAAGGGGAUAAAAUCAUACCUCUUGAUGAGUAUCCCUAUAAUGAGAAAAUGAAGAAACCAAUCUUUUUCCAGCAAGGCAUCUUUCGAAUUUCCAUAGUGUGAUUGUGCUUCUACGUUGAAUUUAUAGAUAAAGUCACUCAUCCCAUUUGGCAAUGUUCUUCCUGGUUAGCAUCCCUAUACUGUGGACCAGAAGAGGGUGACCUUUGUCCAGUAAGAAAUGCGAAAACCUGCUUCAAAUUUCCCCUAGAUGGUCGAGCACUUACUGCAAAUUUGCAUAUAAAAACAAGUCGCCUUCGCAUCUCCCACUUAGUAAUACAGGUAUUGUGAAAGGAUUCGCCAUCGUCAAAGGUUCCUAUUGAGAAAUCAGAAAGUUCGAAAAUGCUUGAGAAACUGAAAGCAACCUUCUAAAUUCUUCUGAUAUGAUUGAAGGAGCACACGAAACUGACAGGUGACAGCAAAUCAAAUGAAAUUGACAAUGGUAUCCCAAUUAUAUGUCGGUAUCAUAGAAAAUCCAUUGGCCUGCAAAACUUUGCUAAGAUGAACAAUUCAUCAAGAAGGAAAGUACAGGCCCAAAUAAUACAUGCUGGGAAAGGCAGUAGGAAAUGUUGCACCAACACCGAAUCAGACAACAAAAGAAAGGGUUAAAGAUGAACUUUUCCUCCAUUUCUCAGGCAUCAGAAAUUAUUUUAUCUUUGUGGAAUAUGCAUGCAUCUUACCCGCGUCACUGAAUAAUGAUGUCAAAAUUGCCAGACAAACACAUAUGCUGAUAUCUUCCCCUGCAAACAGUAUAUAAUAAAUACAUCAGCAGUACUCGAACCAUGCGCAGGCGUCAGAUGGAAAUAAAAUUUCUAUUCAAUUCUUCCAGCAAUUCUAGAAAGCACUGGUAUAUUAAUAUACUGAUUCAAUAGUUAAUUAGCUCUACAAGCGCCAAAAACAAUAAACCAACCCAAGAUGUGACAAUCAGAAACUAGAAAGUGAUAAUUACAAAAUGCAAAAAGACAAAUUUGGAAUGCUGCAACUUAAAAAUCAAUAAUUUCAUAUCUCUCCACAUUGAAGCCUAUCAAGCAGUGCGAUUCCAGUAGGCAAGACAGCAUUUACAGAUACUUACCAUUGCAGCAACAAACUAGAAGUUUAUUCCCCUUGCUAAGAUUCACUUUUGCAAAGUUCACUGCUGCAGGAAGAUUGCUUAAUAUGGAAAAUCGAUCAAGUUUUGAGCUCUGCACAACCAAAAAAAAAAAAAAAAUUCAGAAAAAAAGGAAAAUAAAAAGUGUUGCAUUGAUGAAAUAAUUAAAUUGCCAUCUCUUUCCUUUCAUACGCACCACCAUAGGAAGAUGCAAAUAUGCUUCACUAUCUUGUAGACAGACUGAGCAAGAAUUUUGAUCACAGUUCAAGAUACAAUCAACAUCAGACACAUGUGCAGCUGCAAGAAAAGAGGGAAGAGAGAUAGGAAGGAUAUAAUUGAAAGUAGGCGAACAGAAAAUUAAUGAGAAACAUAAGGGUUACUGCCUGUGUACAGAUGGAAAAGAGAAAUAAAGAAGAAAAGGGAACACCACAUAAGGCCUUCUUGAAGAACAUAAGACCCAAAAUUAGUGGAACAUUUAGAAUUUCAACCAAAUGUGUUACCAGAUGCUAAAUUGUUAAACCCCAGGUGAAUAAUAUUAAGAAAUUCCAUCUUAUUAUUCCCUGAAAGAAAUAACUAACACAAAGGAACUUGAAAUUUAAAAAAGAUAGAGAAAAGAAAGACUGAUAAAGAUAAGCCUUAAAGAUUUUCUUCACGUGAAACACAGGGGAAAGCAUACAUAACAAACUUAUUGAACAAAUUGCAAAAUUUUAUGUUUUAAUUUUCUGGACAUCAGAAUAAAAGAUUUUGUACUUCAUAGUGUAUUCCUAUGAUAAUAAACUCAACUCAUAAAUUAGCUUACCGAGUUGAGUUGUACCCACUGCAAGAUUAGUAGAGCCUAGCCAAAACACUGCCUGAUCUUCAUCACACGACUCCAGAGUGCCAUUGUGGUUAUAAAGAUUCAAAUAUAAUGAAUGUUCUAUUUCAGAAAGAUCAGAAGUGCUGUCUGACACCCUAGAAGGCUUCACAGUCACCUGAGGAGCAGUCUGUCCCCUUUGAGCACGAUACACUCUGUCCUUCUCAACAAUAUCAGCUACCUUUUGGUUACACAGAUCAGGACCUGAACUUAUUAUAUCAUAUGCAUGAUGCCAGAAAAGACUAGGGGACAGACACCUUGCCCAACUUUCUUCAUCAUCUCCAGCUCCUGCUAUAUAAUUCCAGCUAAACUCAGAUGUAGUCCUAUGCUGAUAAAUGCUGCUUGAGGAAGACGCUGAAACAAGUAUAAUAGGCGUGAAAUCCCAGGAAUCAUGAUCCGGUACUUCAUUCAACCAGAUUACAGUCUUUUGCGAUAUCCAUAAAGGUCGAAGAGGCUUUUUCAAGCAUGAUGCGAUUAAAGCAAUAUCAGCUCCACUAUCUUCCAUCUGUUUUGUCCACUCUUCUAUACGGUCCUCAAUAGCUGCUUUCUCUGUUUCAGAAACCCAAAGGGGAAGAUGCAAAGAACAGUCCCAAUUCUGCGAAGCCAGUCUUUUAUUUUCAGCAUCAUCAGAGGUAUCCAUCUCCUAUCAGAAUGCGAGACGACAAAUGCUGAGAUGAGAAUGUUUAUAA